rnacentral:lncRNA from 1 species
CAAUAAAAAUCCUAUACUCCAUUGAAGGAGUUUACAACCAAUCUAAUGAAAACAAUAUUUUUUACAUAGAAACCAAAAAUCUUAUGCUCCUAAUCAUAGAGCUUACAACCCAUUCUAGAAAACAAACAUUAUGAUCAUAAACAAUCAUCAAAUUGAUUCAUUCAUAAAUUUAAUUAAGCCAUAAGGUCAUGGGAUGAAUAAAAAUACCCCACAAAACAGAGUUAGCACGCCCUAAAGCAUAUCUAACAUGCAAAAAUCUACCCUAGGGCUUUGAUACUAGUUGUUUGAAACUCUGGAUCUCUCUAUUCCCAAGCCCUAGAUCUCUUUGUUCCCAAGCCCUAGAUCAUAUAGGUGUAUGCAAACUACCCUAUCCCUCUAAAUCCUAUGCAACAAAAGUAAAAAUAACAUUUUUAACAUUCUAGGAUCCAGAGAAAAUGAAUUAAAAAAACUCUAUCUGUGAUUUAGACAUUCCUAAAUCAUUUCCACUCGGUAAAAAAAAUUUUGAAGGUCUUGUACACCGAUGAUUCAAACUAUGAUCUUAGCACUCCAAAGUGUGGACUUUGGAAGGGAAGAUUCCUAGCUUUCUUUUUCAUACUCUUUGGAGAUGGAAGACGAUUGUCCCUCAAAAAUGAUGGAAACCUAACCCCUAGGGGGAUAUUUAUAGGGUUCCCCUACUAAGCUUAAGUGACUUAAGCUCACCAAGGCUUAGGUCACUUAAUCUAACCCAAGAUAGGUCCUAAUUAAUUAAUUAACCUCACAAGGUCAUCUAAUUAAUCAAUUAACUCAAGCUAGAGAACUUGUUCACUAUCCCCUAUGCAAUCUUAUGUAGUUACCAAAAUACCUUUUAUGCAUAAGAGUGAACCAAAAGUCAAUCCAACCCUCAUAAACCGUGUCAUCAAGAUAUAUGAGCUCAGAGCAAGGAUCAUUAAGACCUAUAGGAGUAUUGGCUCUCUCAGAAUUUAAUUUUGAAAUUGAUUCAACAUUCCACUAAAGAGAAACAACUACACUCCAAUACCCUAUGUAAAUAACAAAGAAACGAAGUUCAGGUCUAUGACCUACUAUCCACUACAUACAGACUCCCCAUGAAUUAGUGUUUGUUAUCUAGCAAGGUAGUGUUAUCACCUAUCAAGAUUACAUCUCCAACCCUUGAGUUAUGAAUCCUACUUAUUAUGUGAUCAAUUGACAUACUCUAGCUCCAAGGUGCAUUUGUCAAAUUUCAACUAAAGGAAAUAUUAUGAUCAUAGUCUUCUAGAUCACAUGUUUUUUGGAGCACCUAAUGGGACACACUCUCUCAAUCCAUGAGAUAUCAUGGUGUCUUUAUUGAGAAUACCCACUAUUACCAGCUCCAUAAAAAAUUACUCAAUCCAUAGGGAUGGAUAUUUGACUACUUUAGUGUCUCACCCAUAAAUCAAAGUCUUCGGUUGACUUUGGAAUAAGCUUAAUAUUCUUUCAAGGCUAAAAGUUCAUACAGUAUACUAGUUUGGUGAAUCAUGAAAAUGAUAGCCUUAUAUCAUAAUUCGCCAUAAGUCCCGUCUAAUGUGCAUCAUAUACACUAGUGUACUCACCAUGGGAAAACCAUCCUAAUGGUUAAGGCAAGUCAUCCCUCCUAUUAAGAGAUAGCAUACUAUAGUCUCAGAUGAAUUGUCUAAAUCCAUGAAUUGACUAUGGACUACUCAUCACUAUACAAGAAACUCAUGAUUUGGAUCUUUAAUGCAACUUCUAAUAUAUAUAAGUCAUGUAAAAUGCAAGUGAUGUGAGGCAUGUAUGCUCAAAUAACCAAUUAAUGCAUAUAGGAUUAUAAAGAGAAACCAAAAAACAUAAAUAAGUAAAUUUAUAAGUGAAUAUCUACCUAUUACAUCAUGUCAUGCUUUCUCAUGCUCAAUCCUAAUAAGAACUACCAUUCCAUAACCAAGUGGAUAAUCUAAAAAGGAAUAACAAUUUAUUUAGCAACAACCAAUUUAGAUAGAUAACUUUAGAAAUAAUCUCUCAUGAAAAUUUAUUUUCCUAAGAAAAUCCAAAAUAUUUUAUUUCUCGUGUCAUAUAUGCAAUUAAACAAUAACAACAUAAAAUAAUUACUAAGGAAAUAAUAAAACAAAUAAAUUUUUCCAUGGCCUUUAGGGAUCUCAGAUCAUAUUUGUUAAUAAUUUGGAUAAAAUUCAAAUAACUAACAUUACCAAAAUUACCUACAACAAAAAAUAGGGUUAGAAUAUAAAAAAAUAAAUCCUAAAAAUGCAAAAAUUGUCAUCAUUUCCAAAAUUUUGAAGGGCCACUUAAAGCAAAUUUGGUUGUUGGAAAGACCACUCAAGCGCUUGAGUAGCUUGAAUGCUACUUCCUAACCUACAUAUUUAAGGCUAUUUCUACAACUUUUCCGACCAUUGUUUCUUCAAAAAAUUUAUCCUUUUAAAAGGCUUUAUACACAAUGGAUGUUCAUGAAUGCUUGGAACUUCUGAUCUUCGCUUUUGGGUCAACAUAGACAGAUAAAAAUUCGUUUUCUACAUUAAGAAAAAUCUUACGCUCCACCAAAAUGGAACUUAUAAUCCAUUUAAGAACAAAACUUGAUUUUUAUAUUGAAAAAUAAAAAUCGAUGCUCCUAACCACGAAGCUUUUAACCCAAUCUAUGCAAAUAAACAAAUCCAAAACAAUCAAUCACAAAAUAAUCAUAUAAACAUUCAUACAUUCAUCCAUUUGGGUCAUGGCAUGAAUAAACAUACAAAACCAAGUCACCACACCUUAGAAUAGAUCUAACAAGCUUUUCUUUAACCUUGGGCUCUUAUACCAAUUGUUAGGAAACCUCGAAUUGUUCCAUCCCAAGCCUUGGAUCGUUAGGGUGCAUGAAAUCCUAUCCUUAGCUUCUCUAGAACUAUUGCAAUAAAAAAAUUGGCUUUCCAAACCAAAAACAUAUCAUAGAUCUAGAGAUUAGUGUCAUACCUGCAAUUUGAAUAUUCCUAGAUUGAUUCCUGUUAAUGUAGAAAUCUUCAAAUAUGGAAUAUAUAUAUAUAUAUAUAUAUAUAUAUAUCUCGUACACUCAUAAUCAUCAACCUAAUAACUCCACUUUGAGUCUAGGCAUUGAGAUGGUGAAAAUCCUAAGGCUAGAGGUUAGGGUUCUCUCUUUGAACUACAGGGAGAGAAUGACAAGACUUAGAAACCCCAAUCCCUAAAAGGGGUAUAUAUAGGCUUCCUACUAAACUUAAGUAACUUGAACUUACCAUGAGCUUGGGUCACUUAAUGUAGCCCAAAAAAGUUGUUAAUUGAUUUAUUAACCAAGUAAGGCUCCAAUUAAUCACUUAGCCUAGUCCAAAUAUACCACCCACUUACUCUUGUGCAACAUUAUGUAAUUUUCAAAAUGCCCUUAUGCACAUAAGUAAACUAAAAACCUAUUCAACCCUUAUAAACCGUAUCAUUAAAAAAUAUAAGCUCAAUUAAGGACCAUUAAGACUCAUAAGAUAGCAUUGGCUCCCUCAUAAUCCAAUUUUGAAGUUGUCAACAUCUUACUAUAAAGAGUCAACUAUAUUCCAAUACCCUAUGUAUAUUACAACAAGACACUAAGUGUUCAAGUAUGUGACCUGUCAUCCACUAUAUACAAUCUUCCUAUGAACUAGUCAUCUAUAGUCUAACAAGGUAAAAGCUAGCAGCCUUUCAAGACUACCUUUAUCAUCCUUGAGUUAUAGAUCAUUCUAUUAUAAUGACAUACUCUACCUCACUAAAAGUAUAUGUCAAAUUCCAUUAAAGGAAUUAUUGUGAGCCCAUAGAUUUCAUGAUCACACAUCUUUAGGAUUACCUAAGUGAACACACUAUCUCAAAGUCUAUGAGAUAUCAUAGUGUCUUUAUUGAGAAUACCUAUUGCUACUAGUUUUCAUUAAUAGUAAUUCAAUCUAUAGGGAAUAUCUUAUCAGCUUACAAUCUCAUCCGUUGUUCAAAGCCAUUACUAACUUUUGCACGAGCUCAAUAUUCUCUCAAGAUUGAGAGACUAUAUAGUGUAGCAACUUGGUGAAGUCUUAUGUCAUAACUCACUAUAGGUCAUGUCCAAUAUAUAACCAUACACACUAAUGCACUCACCAUGAGAACCUUACCCCGAUGGCCAAGACUAAUCGUCCCUCCAAUUAGGAGGUGGUACACUACAACCUCAAAUGGAUUACCUAAUUCCAUGAACUUGUUGUGAACAAAUCAUUUACAUGCAAGGAACCCAUGACCAAGAUCUUCUAUGCAACUCUUAAUGCACCUAAGUUAUAUACAAUGCAAGAUAUGUUAGGUCAUAAUGCUCAUAAAGUAUAAUGCAUUGAAUAAAGAUAAAUAAGUGAAUAUGGAAUCUCAUCAAAUGAAUAAUAAUGAAUUCCAAAUUUACUACAUCAUGUCAUGCUUUUAAGGGCUUUAUCAUAACAACUUAAGCUCAUCAAGGGCUUGGAUCACUUAAUCUAGUCCAAAAUGGGUCUUAAUUGAUUAAUUAACCUCUUAGGGUCAUCUAAUUAAUCAAUUAGCCCAAACUAAAGACCUUGUUCACUAAACCCUAUGUAACCUCACAUAAUUACCAAAACAUCCUUAUGCAAAAAAGUGAACUCAGAGCUAAUCCAAUCCUCAUAAAUUAUGUCAUCAAGGUAUAUAAGCUCAAGCGAUGACCACUAGAACCCAUAAGAGUACUGGCUCUCUUCAAAUUCAAUUUUAAAGUUAAUUCAAUAUCCCACUAUAAAGAAUCAACUACACUUCAGUACCUUAUAUAUAUAACAACGAGACGAAGCUUGAAUCCAUAACCUACUAUCCAUUGCAUGUUGACUCUCCAUGAACUAGUGUUCGUAAUCUAAUAAGGUAAUGUUAUCACCUAUUAAGAUUACAUCUCAAAUCCUUGAGUUAUAGAUUCUACCUAUUAUGUGAUUGAUUGAUAUAUUUUAUCUCCAAGGAGAAAAUGUCACAUUUCCACAAAAGGAAAUGUUAUGAAAAUAGUAUUUUAAAUCACAUGUCCUUUGGAUCACCCAAGAGGGCAGAUUAUGUCAAGACCAUAAGACAUCACGGUGCCUCUAUUGAGAAUACUUGUUGCCACCAACCUCAAUGACCCAAUCACUAAGGAUAUCUGACCACUUUAGGGUUUCACCCAUAAGUUAAAACCUCUUGUUGCUCAGAAAACCAAUUAAUGCAUAUGGGAUAAUAAAUGGGAAACCAAGAAACAUAAAUAAAUAAAAUUUAUAAAUGAAUCUCAAUUUGUUACAUCAUGUCAUGUUUUCUAGGGUUCAAUCCCAAAAGAUAUAUUAAGGGUGACAGAAAUAAACACAUCUCACCCAAGUUCUUUUAUAUUCAUGAGCUCUAAAAGAUUAAUGAAAUUAAUAUUCAACAAGUAAAAUGAGUGACACUUGAGUAGACCUAUUUACAAAGGCAUUGUCAAUUGCAAAGCUAAAAGUUUUAUGUUGAAUGCGUGAAGUCAAAGAUCUUUAUGUUGAGUUACUAAAGAAAGUAUAAUAAUAGUAACAUGAGGGGAAACAUGUUAAAAAGGAUAAAACUGCCUUGUAUCACUAGCUUUAUCUACAACGUUUUUAACAAGUGAAUCCCCUCAAUAUAAAAUUAUUUUAAGAAUUGAAACAAUAUUGUAUACUUUUCCCUUUGUAAAGGUUUAUCCUAUCAAAUUUUGCUUAACAAGGUUUUUAUGAAGUUUAUUCUUAUGUUACAAUGAUCGUCUAAGGGAAAAGGGAAAAGGGAAAAAGCAUCAACCACGCUCACACCAACUAGUGUAAUAAAUAUUGCUUGGAAUGAUUUGAAUGAUCAUAAAUAUCACUACUCAUGCUACAUUUUAAUUAUGCAUGUAACUAUUUCUCGUAAUCAUCUUUUUUAUUAUGAUAAUUGUCUUAUUUGAGGCUAUUGACACAAGAAAUAAUAAUAUUCUUAUUCUUCAUAAGUUUCUCCUUUAAACCCCUCUAUUUCUCUCUCUAUUUUUUUGUAAUAAGUUUUAUAUUUACUCUCUUUAUCCACUCUAAGAAUAAUGAAAGGAUAAAUAAUAAAUUAAACCCUAAUUUUAAUGAUAUAUAAUACCUAUAAACUUCCUUUGAAACUUUGUUCCUACUAUUAUGAUUAUUAUUUUUUAAAUAUCAACUUUUAUUUUGAACCCUUUUUAUGUGUAGGAUUUAUUAAGAAUUUAGAAUCUACACCGUUGUAAAAUCUUGGAGAAGAUCGAGUGUUGAGUCGAGUUUGUGAGUGAUGAAGCGAUACUUCCAACCAAUUGGGAAGGAUGGCUCCUCCAAGAAACCCUCUCUCUCAAAAGAAGAUGGCGAUGAGAACACAGACCAGGUUUCAGAGGAGGAGAAGAAGGAGCCAUUAAAGUUCUUGACAUGGAAUGCCAACAGUUUUCUUAUUCGAGUCAAGAACAACUGGCCCGAAUUCACCAAGUUUGUUUCUGAUCUUGAUCCUGAUGUCAUUGCUGUACAGGUGAUUCACGCUCCCUUGUGUUGUUCCCUUAUCGACUUUCGAGUUGUCUUUGUCUGGGGAUUUCAUGAACUUGGUUGAAUGUGCGUGGUAGAAAAUGGGUAGUUGAUGUUUGGGUGUGGGUGUGCUGGUAAUUUGUCUAAUGGCGAGUGGGCGUGUGAUUUUUUGGGUCUGUAGUAGAAAUUUGGUAUGUGGGGUGUUGAAGAUUCUUUGGGCUUUUAUUCCAGUAAAAUGCAUGAGAUCGAUUUUGAUCCAUGAUUUUCCGUUUUCCUUUUGUUUUCAUCAGUGUUCUUGGUGAUUGGGUUUUCUAAGCAUUUAUUUGAUGCUGUUGUAACUUCUUACUAAAGUCCUUUUGGAAAACAUCAAUGUGAACAGUAGUUGCCUACUUAAUAUCCAAAAAAUAUUUGUAAUAAUGAAAUUUGUUCUUUCUCCCCCCUAAACUUUGCUGAAAAGAGCUUUCAAGCCUAAAACCCUUGUACCUAGAUGUGUUUUAGUUGUAACUAAACACACUGUAAUGCUGUUUUAACAGCUAGAAAGUGAUUAAGGCAAUAAAAAGCUGAAGCACACAAGCCUCAAGUUGAUUAAUCUCUUCUAGUUAAGCAUUAUGUUAUUCCAUCUUCUGCUGUUCUUGCAAUCUCAAGGGUUUUAUUUUUUGCUCUCCUGAUUUUUCUAUUUGUUAUUGUACAAUUUCAGUUAUCUACAUUUAACACUCUGUGAGUGCUUUGAGUUGCAAGUUUUCUUUGAUAUUGCAAUUAUGAAAAAUUUAUAUGUGGGAAAUACUUAUAAAAAAUAAUCAAUUUUAUAGCUUGCUGUUUGUGUUUGGUGCUUUGACAUAUCUAGUCUUCAGCUUGAAGAGUGAAAUCCAGAAAAAUACCAAAGUCAAAUUUCUGGGAAUAAGUCAUGAAAUUUUGGUCCCAAAUUCCUCUGUGCAGCAAUAAUUUCCAAAAAGAAGGAUUAGGAAACACAACCUAUAAUUGAGAUAUGGUUUCUUCAGCGGAAUCUGAUUGAAUUUUAUAGUUUUGGCAAGCAACUGACCAUGGUGAAGUAGGUCCUAGCUAAAGUUAUGCAGCAGAGAUGGUUUUGCAGUGGUUCAAAGUGUGUUUUGGGCUUCUGCGUAUUGGACUUAUAAUGGAUUUUGAUGUAAAGCUAAAUUUUAUCAGAUGAAAUUGCUUCAUCAUCAAUUGGUUUGGUUGCUCAGCUAAGCAAUUUUUCAUGUUUAUGAUGAUUGGUAUCUAUAGCAGCACGAGGAAGUUGUGAAUUUUUCUCAUACAUUUCUAAAUAUGUUUCUUGAUAAGUGGUUAUAGCUUAAUGCAGAAUGGUAAAAGAGAAGAAAGUAGAUUUGGUGACAAAAUACAUAAAGAUAUAGUUUACUCAAAUAUGGCUAAUUAUAUGAUUAAUCUGAAGAUUACAAUUUGUGUUUCAGAAUUGGGAUAUCUGGGAGAAGGCAUUGCCCAUUGUGAAAGAUAUAUGGUGCAGCUUUGUGAUGUUUUCUUAUAUGUUUAAUUGUAGAGAAUGUUAUAUUAGUUUGGAAUAUGCUAAUAUUCACCGUGUCCUAUAAAAUUCUUUAUGCUAUCUCUUUUACUUCUUUUUAUAUGUAUGACAAUAUCAUGUUGAUUUCCUUUUACCCUAAAUGUUAUUUGGAAAGAAUCUAUCUAACAGCUUAAUGGUAGGAAGUAAGGAUGCCAGCAGCUGGCUCCAAGGGUGCUCCUAAAAACCAUGGAGAGUUAAAAGAUGAUACAAGCUCAUCACGUGAGGAAAAGAAGGUAAAAUUGGUCUUUUCUGUUACACAAUAAAUUUAUGUGUGCAUAUGUGCUGAAAUCUAUAACUUCAUUUUAUGCAUGUAUGAAGCUGAAUUUCUUUACCUAUCAAAAAAAUAAAAAUAAAAAACUGAAUUUCUUUGAGGUGCAUUUGGAUGUCUUAUGAAAACAAAUAUCUCCAUUGUGUUUUGCAUAGAUUUGAAGUUCAAAUCUCAAUUCUAGAAUGGUGCUAUCGAAGAAAAUGAGAUUCCUGGUAACAGGCCGAUGGCAUGGGAGCAAUUUUGACUUGCCCAGGAGGGGCACUGUUUUAAGUUUUAACUUUUAAUUUUUAAUCCUCACUUGUGAGCCAUUGAUUUCCAUUGUUGUGAGCCUUUAAAUUUCCAUUAGACAUCCAACUGCACCUGUAGUGUUUACUUCUGACCAACAAUUUUCAUGCUCAACACAUGUUAAUGGUCAGAUGGAAUUUUAUUAGCAAUGGAAACUUAUUGUUUGUCAUGUGCAUUAUAUACUACAUACUUGCCUAGUUGUUAUGUCCAGCACUAGGUAUAGUAGUUAAGCGUUUCCCAUCACUUCCAUUCCCACAAGUGUCAUGUCUAGAACCUCAUUUUUUGUAAAGCUGAUCUCAGCCUAGGAGAAAUGAGGAGGGUCAUAUUGGGUUGACAAUGAAAAUUAAAUCCUCAGUAGAAGUCUUAAAUCCUCAAGAACAUUUGUCUACAAAAUUUUCAAGUUAGUGCAUGGCCAUUUGGUGUGACAGAAGAUGAUUCUAGAUGGGAUUAAAAAAUGUCAAAAGGAUAAUGUAUAGCUGACCCAAAAUUUUAGAACUUGUUUCAAGGUUCAAGAGGACCUAAUGCCCUUGAGGCCUUGUUCAAGUGGUAAAGGGUUGGGGAGGGUUUGUGGGAGGUUCCAAGUUCAAACCCCAAUGGGGAUUCAAGAGGACUUAGGUCUGUGUUUCAACUCAAAAUUCAGAAUGGUCACAUUGAUAAUGGAAUCAUUCCUUGGAAAGGAAAAUAGUUGACUCCAUAACAUUUCCUGCCUAAGUAUUUGUGGGGGGUGGGGAGUGUGGAUGGUGUUCUCAAUUGGUAUGAUGACCUUGCUUGGCAUUUUAAUUGUUGGUGUCCUGAAGAAUUACCAAGUUUCAAGGAUUUGACGUGAUAAUUUUUGUGAGUAUUCAAGAAGAUGCUCCAAUUAUCAAGAUAUGCUUGAGGCUUUUUUUAUAGCACCAUUAUGUUUUAUAUCACUUAAGCUAGAAUUGAUCUGCACCAAUUUGAUGAAGAAAAGAAAAAAUCCCUCUGAUGGAUCUCCAAAUUGAAUAUAAUUCAACAGCAUGAAGAUUUAAUCCCAAGUAUUGGGGUUGGCUACAUGAAUCUUGGUUUUCUGUUCUGCUCUUUAAGCCAUACUUUUUGCUUAAUCAUACACCACCAACAUGUUUUGUCUUUCAGUUUCAACCAUUCUCUAGAAUUGACUAUAUACAAUUUUAUGUAAAGAAAAACAAGUAAUUUUAACUUGUAAUAAACAGCAUGAUUGCUAAAGACCUAAAUGAUGAUACAACUUUAAAGUUGAAUGGCCAAAUGACAUUUAUGUGGUUAACUCCAAAUAGUUGGGAUUUGGGCUCUGUGAGUUGAGUUGUGGAAAUUUGGUAUUUCAACGCUAAGAAAAUCGGAUAUCUACUAACAGCAAUUAUAUAUUUCUUUUGAACCAUGCAGAUAUUAAUGCAUGCCCUUUCCAGACCUCCAUUUGGAAAUUAUCGUGUUUGGUGGUCUCUUGCAGAUUCCAAAUAUGCAGGGACUGCAUUGUUUGUUAAGAAGUGUUUUCAACCAAAAAAGGUCUCUUUCUCUAUUGAUCAAAAAGGUAUUAUGGAUAGGAUCUUUUUGUUGUUUUAUCAUAUGAAGAAUUUCUUACUUUGAUCAAUUGUUAAUUCUUUUCAUGGUUAAGUAGAAGUUAAUUGCACUUUCUUCAAAUUGCAAUUUGCCCAUGCAUUGCUUGAACAUGUUUCCAGGUAAUUUGUUGCAUUCAUCCAUGUGUGUAUUUAUUUAUUGGAAUUCUUGUUAUGUUUAUUUGCACAUGUGGAUUUAAAGAGUAGCAAACCGUACACAUGAUUGGCACUUAACAAUAAUUUCUUUUGUUGAAGAUUUUACACUUUGUUUCAUGUUGAGAAUCACAGUUAUAAUAAGUUAAAAUCAUGUAAUCAUAUUUAUGACCUUUUAGAGUUAGUAAUUAAGGAUGAUUUGUUGUUUUUCUUUUCCUUUUCUUUUUUUUUUUUCCUCUUUUUGUAAGCUUGAACAUGGUUUGAGGGUAUUCUGUGUAUUUUAGCUCAAAAUUCCAUGUAUAUGACUGCAGCAAGUGGUUGAAAGGACAGAUGAAUGGAUUUUCAGAAGUAAAAGAAAAAUGGAAGUUUGUUUUGGCCAAACCUCUAUCUCAAAUAGCUAGAGAUUAUGAAAAUUGUGUAUCAUAAUUAUUUGUGAUGAUGUAGUUCUUGAAUAGCUUGGAAUCUGCAAUCGGCAACUAAUCUAUCGUUAGUAGCCACUGCUUAUUGAUAAAGGCUAGAGAAUGGGGCUAUUUGAGAGGAAAGAUAAGGGAGGACUCAGUGUGGCCCUAUGGCAGUAGGAUGAGGGGGCCAUGCUAUGGGAUGUGGAUUUGGGCUUCAAAGAGUGAAUUGUAUUCUAGAUCAAAACCCCAGGACCCUAUCCCUUAGAAUGUGGCUUCAUGGGUCUUAUAUGGAAGAUUGGAUGCAUGUGAGGGUCCACAGCAGUCACAGUAGGCCCUAAAUCAAUUACAAGAUUAAGGAUGCCUGCUUGAUGCAAGGCUAGCCAGUCUCUAACCAAAGUUGCCAUUGCUAGAAUAUUGGAGGUCAAACAUACAUGUAACAGAAGGAUAGGUUAGCUGGUGCCAUUACUGGGAGGCACACCUCCCUUUAUUAUAGAUUUGAACAUAGUGACAUGCACUCCUUGUGGUCAGUCCAGGCAUGGAUUAGUUUCAGGAAGCAUUUUCUUUUUUUAUCUUGAAAUAAGCAAUGUACCAUGAAUCUUGUUAUAUUCAAUCUUUGAAAAUGAUGAGUGAUUCUCUACAGUGGAAUACCAAAUAGGGGGUUCAUGGUUGAACUCAUCCAGCUGGGUUUUAAGGUCUAAAUAAUUUUAAAUUUCUGUAUGGUAGAAUGACAGAAUGGCAGAAUGGCAAAUGGGUUCAUGUGGCUGACUCGUCCAGCUGGAUUAAGGUCUAAAUAGUUUUGAUGAAGCGCUUUUUUGUACACUUCUGAAAACUUUUCCAUUUGUAAUGGUAUUCUGGUCAUUUUCUUCUAAAGAGAAACUAUCUCAUAACUUUGCACAUGAAAUAUCUAUUCCAUAAUACUGUGUUUUUUUUCCUCUUUGAGGUGCUUUCCUUGUGUGUGAAAUGUGAGGGGCAAUCCACUAAUAUAUUGCUUUUGUUCUUAGCUUCAAAGCAUGAGCCUGAAGGUCGGGUUAUUUUGGCUGAAUUCGAGUCUUUCCGCCUAUUGAAUACAUAUGUGCCAAAUAACGGUUGGAAAGAUGAGGAAACAUCAUUUCAGAGGAGAAGAAAAUGGGAUAAGAGGAUGCUUGAAUUUGUUGUGCAAUCUUCUGAUAAGCCUCUUAUUUGGUGUGGCGAUCUGAAUGUUAGGUAACCACUUCCUUUCGAGCUUUAGUUAUCUUUACCUUCCUUUAGUUACCUGUGUUUCCGCUUGAAAUUUCUUUCUAUGUUUUUCUAGGUAAAUGGUUUCUGUUUUGCUAGUAUAAUUACAGAUGAGGAUUCUGGCGAAUUGUUAGAUGCUGAAUUUUGAUAAUUUAUGACAGUUUUAAUUCAGACCAAGUUGAAACCCGGUCUGUUUUGAUAUGCAAUCAUGUUCAAUGAACAAGCUACUUAUUGGGCCAAGAUCAAUCGGUUCAUGAACUGCUGCUUACUGGGUGUAAUUUUUUUUAUAUAGAAAAUAAACACAAGCCCAUUCACUUUUUGAGCGAUGCUUGGAUGGCAAGAUCCAAUCUUCCAGUUCAUGCUGACAACUAAGUUAAUCAUUGUAUGUCAUGGCAAACUCAUCUUACAUAGUUCAAUAUUAUUUCAAUGAAGCUUGGUUGCCCCUGAACCAAAAUGAAUUCAGUCUAACAUAAAGAGACCUAUGAACUUGCAAGAAAACUAUUUGAUCCCUCAUUGUGACAUAUUGAAUUCAUUGUGCUUCUCUAGUUUAUUCAUUUUUCUAUAUCUAACUUCCAAAAAGAAAAAAAAAUGCAGCUUGAUCCUCAUCAUACAUCAAUCUUCUUAUUUAUAAUCUGUUAUAUCUUCUUGGAGUAAAUGGCAUGAUUAUCAAGAAACUUUCUCAUGUUUGUUAUUUGUAGUCACGAAGAGAUUGAUGUGAGCCAUCCAGAAUUCUUCAGUGCAGCAAAGCACAAUGGAUAUGUUCCUCCAAAUAAAGAGGUAUUUACAAUGAAGAAGUCUGUUUGAGUGUGAUUAUGACAUAAGUCACUUCUUCAUCUGCUCCAGUGAAUUAGUAACCUUCAUUGACCUGUUCACUGAUGCUCAAAAUUGCUUAGAAAUGUUAAAAGUAGGCAACAAGCACCUGGCUUUAAUUAGGAUCUUCCUUCUGAAUGGCUGUGCAUAUCAUAUAUUACUAUCGUUUAUGAGUUUCCUUAUUUUAUGCAAUUAACAAAGUGAGUUCCACCUUGAUAUCUUGAUGACACAGGACUGUGGGCAGCCUGGAUUUACCUUGGCUGAGAGGAGGCGUUUUGGUGGCAUAUUGAAAGAGUGUGUAAAACCAUUUGGAAAUCUUGAACCAUUGCAUUUACGAUUUUGAUCCAUUAUAUCUAUGAUUUUAUUUUUUUACCAUUUCACAGUUCAGCAUCUUUUGUUUGCUUUCCCAUAUCAUUUACUAUCUCAUGGAUGAAAUUUUUGUGUUUCUACUAAUUGUGCUUCCAUCAUUAUAGAUUUGCAGUUCAGUGACCAAAGAAGACUAGUUUUAUACUAACCUAAUAUUAUAAUACACUCCUAGGAGUUAAUAGUGCUAUUUUUUUAGCUUUCUUCUUUAAUCAUAUUUAGAGUACGUUUGGUAGUGAUUCUAAAAAGUGUUUCUAACCUUUUUAGAAAAUUUUUAUCUUUCAAGUAUUAGUUCAUCAUACUUCGUUUUGAAGAAUUUUUAGAUUUGCUAAACAAGGUAACUGAUAUCUUUUGGUAAAAACAGCUUGUUAAUGAGUUUCCUGGAACUGUUUCCUGGAUCUAGUUUUCCUGAAUAUAGAACUGGGUCUAUACGCCCACUCUUGGCAUUCUUUUCAGUUCCAUUUGUUCCUGAAAAUUGAAAGCCUGAACUUCAAUUCUUACCUUUCAUUGGUUAUACCUUUAUAAUGCAGUGUUAAUGAAUUUGAGCUCUUACUGGUUUGAGUCUGUGGAUUAUGCUUCAGGGGGAAGCUAGUAGAUGCAUACAGACUCCUACACAAGGAAAAAGACAUGGAAGGUGGCUUCUCAUGGUCUGGAAACCCUAUUGGAAAGUAAGGAGUUGAUACCAUUUUCCAUUGAACUGUCAGCAUAAUUUGGAGAUUGGAACCAUGAAUGACUUCAUUGCACUGUUAUUUCAGAUGAUUAGAUAUUCUCUCUUUGAUAUUUCAUGAGAAAAUGUGUAGACAAACAAUAAGAUCAUCUUAGCUAGUUGUAUUUCACUUUACGGUUCAGGCUGGGCAUAUUCCCUCAUGACCAGAAUGGGUGGCUUCUUUUGCAGGUAUAGAGGGAAGAGGAUGAGAAUAGACUAUUUCAUAGUUCCAGAGGCACUCAAAGAUAGGAUUGUUGCAUGUGAGAUCCAUGGACAGGGGAUUGAAUUAAAAGGUGUGAUUCAUUUCAUCCUUCACAACACUUGAAUCAGAUUCCUACAAUUUACAAAAUCUUAACUUUCUGAUGUGCAUACUCAGAUAAUAACUCCUUAAUUCUAGUCAGCAUAUAUACUCAUACAUGCCUAUAUACAUAAAUACACUCACACACAAUCAAUUCAAAGUUCAUUUUAUUGGUUUUUAUCUUUUUCCUUUUUGUUAUGUAAAUAUUUUUUUCUCUUCCCCCGUCCCCCCAAACGGACUCCAACCAGUACCUCCCCACAAUCCCUCCCAACCCUUAGCCCUCGAGCCAGGACUCAAGGGAAUUUGAAGUGGGUUUUUACCUUGAGAUGUGGCAAAUCAAAUCAUCAACUUUUACUUCUGUAACAAUUGAAGUUAGUCCUUCUGGGAGUGUUCAUCUUUUGACUUAUGCAGAGGUCCAUCUCCAGGAUUCUAUUGAAUAAUGUUGCCUGAGAUUUUGCCAUUGUAUGUUUUUGAUGGCUCCAUCUUCUGCAUGGCCCCAUCACAACGGUCAAUUUGUUUUAUUGGUUUGAAUUUCAUAACCUCACACAUGCCCUUUAUUUUAUGAAGCAUUUUGAGAUUUUUUUUUCUUUGUUCUUUUUCAUGGCUUGCAGGUUUCUACGGAAGUGACCAUUGCCCGGUUUCCCUGGAGCUUUCCGAGACAAGCUCCGGUUCCAACCAAAGCUAAGUUUUGCUUUGAUUAACAUUUGAGGGUCAUGUACUGGAUUCCCUACAACAUUAUACUAGUAAUCUUUGAUCAACAUUUUGCAUUAUGGAUAAUUGAAUGGAAUCGGUUUAGGCAAUUUUCAAACACCAUUUUAUACAUUUUGCAAUGACAAGAUCAUCUCAUGAACAUCUACUUUUGCUGCACUUUUCAUUUUUGUCCUUCUUUCAACCUUUUGAGCGAAGAAAUGGUCGUGAUGAGCCAAACAUCCUAAGUUCAAGCCUUAUUUAGAGUAUUUUACAGUACUUUUAAACACUUCUAACAUAAAAAAACUGUCUUUGGAGAGAAAUGAAACAUUUCAUAAAAUUAGAAAGUACUUUUAAAAUUUUGAAAAAUCACUUGUAGUGUCUUUCGAAAAGAUACCUUGAGUAUGUUUGACAAUGUUUUUAAUAAAUGCUUUUAACUACCAUGGAAGGCAGCAGUGGGGAAUUUUUCUGCAAUGGGCAAGGCCUGAUGAAGCAAUGUCAUGUGGAGGUAGAAGGCCCACAAGUUGUGAACUUCGUUUCUCGGAGAAGAAGCAAUGACGACAGCUAGGGAAUAAGCAUCAAUCAACUCUGUGUCAAUAGUCAUGAUAAUAUAGAUGAUGCAAGCGUUAUUAAAAAUAAUUGUGCGUAAAGUGUCUGGAGGUGAUUUUUUUUAACUUUGUGGUCAAAUCCUAAGGCUAAACCCUAAACUUUAACCUUUGUAAUACUUAAAAAUCUUUACUUUUCAACUAUUAGAAAGAUUAUAAACACUUUUCGAAAUCAUCGUGAAAUGCACAUUUAUAGUUUGUUUGGGAGUAUUUUUACUUGAAGUGUUUUGAGUGAAAUCAUUUUCUUAUGAAGUGUUUUUAAGAAAAUCAUAUAUGAAGUAUUUUUUCAAAAAACACUAUAAGUAAUUUUUCAAAAUUUUGAAAGUGUUUUAUAAAUUUUAUCAAUCAUCUAAAGUUUUUUCAAAAACACUUUUUAGAUUAAAAACACUUUUUUAAAUCAUUGGCACUCGAACUCUUAAUAGAUGAUUUUCAUAAAAUAAUUAGUGUAGUAAGCACUUCAAAUAAAAGCACUCUUAAAGAUAUUCGUAAUAUAAUGGUUGAUUUUAGGAAAGUAUUAAAAAAAAAUUCUUAUAUUUAGUUUUGCGAUGAAAAAAAUAAAAUAUAAUUUUAAAUUAUUUAAUUCUUAUAUAGAGUAGUUAAAAUAAAUGAAAUUAAUUAAAUGUAGUAUAUAAAAAUGACUUAAUGAUUUAUUUUUAUUUUUAUUUUUACCUUUUUUUUUUCUUCUUUUUUUUUCUUUGGCAUUUUCUUUCCAAAUUUUGGAGAGCCAACCAUUAGGCCAAGUGGGCUAUAGAGGAAAGGGAGAGGUUCCAUACCACUUGGAUGGGAUAAAUGCCUCAUGGGGUUUGGGUUUUCAGGUUUUUUCUAAACAAAAAUAUAAAUAAUGAUAUUAGGCAUUGACAGAGAUAGGUCACCUACCUGUGAUGAGUGGUCCAUGCCCAUUUCUAGUGGGCCCAAUGGAAUGGAGCACGUGGCAUUAAAAAAGGGCCAUCUACUAUAAUGAUUUGUGUGACGGAAUCUAAUGAUUAUUUAAAUAAUUACUAUAAAAUAUCAAGUUAAAGCACUAUAAAUAUAAUUCAUGAAAGUAUCAUUUUGAAUUGUUUUUGCCUUUUGAGGGGCAAUAUUGUACAUUGGUGAGAAUAGCUGGGUGAUUUUCCUAAUCCGAAGUGUUGGACAAAUAUUGAAAUUUGAAUUGGGGUAGGGUGAUUUUUACAAUUUCACCCCCACCCCCCUUUCUUUGUUUUAUUAUUUGAAAACAAUUUUAAAAUUGGAUUUGUAUAAACAAAAAUAUAAAAUAUAAAUGAAGCGGGUGUUUGAUAAAUCAACUUAAUAACUUAAGUAUGUUUGAUAAAAUAACUUUAUAGUAUGGGUUAAAAUCAAAAACAAUUUUAAGUAAAAAAUAAAAAUAAUUUAUUUAUUUUUAAUUCAUAUUUUCAUUUUACCUUUUUUAUCUUCAUUUAUUCUAAUUAUCUCCGUGAUCUCUUUUAUUAUUUUAUGACCUCCAUUAUUACUCGACUUUAUUUGUCUUAAUUAUAAUUUAUAAAAAUAAAUAUGUCAAUAACUUAAAAUUAAUUUUAUUAAACAAUCUUAAUACUUAAAAUAAUAAUUAAAUAAUAAGUUUUAAAUAAAUAAUUUAGAUAUAAUUUAACUUAAAAUCGACCAAAAAUAACACUCAAAUAAAAAUAAUGAAGAGUCGAUGCCUACCACUUUUAUUUUUAAAAAAUAAUUAUACUUUUUCAAUUAAAUGUAUUUAAAAAAAUAAAAUAAAAAAUAAAAAUAAAAACUAGAAAACAUUUUUGAAAUCAAACACAACCAAUUUUGCUCUCUUUUUGUCCUACAAUUAUUAUUAUUAUUAUUAUUUUUUAUUCCAUUUUCAAAGCAUUCAAAGGGUAUCCAUACAAAAAUAUCCAAUUCUUUUUCAAAACACAUGUCUAUUGAGAGAGAGGUGUGUGGGCUGUUAAAGUCAACAUGGAUCAUCUCUAAAAUGCAGUUGAAGUCAACAGCAUUCCCAAGGAAGAGAAUCAAGUUUGCCCCUGUGAAAAGUUUGAUGCAAAAUCCAAUAAAAGGAAGAGAAAGCAUGAAGUGUGAGGUCACUUUCAUGGACAUUUUCGAAGUCCAUCCAUGGGUAGUAGACCCAUCACAAACACAAAUUAAUUAGUCAUGGGUUCCAAUUUGGUCCAAAAAGGGGAAGAUUACUUAGGGCUUCCAAAUUUAUAUAUUUAAUCAAAACCAUAUCAAAAUUGUCAUUUCAACACUUAAUGAGUUAUGAUUAAAUUGUUUCUAAAAAUAUUUGAUAAUCCAAUUUUGUCUUUUUGUACUAUAUUUUUUCUAAUCUUGUUUCUUCUUUAUUCUUUUUUCUUUUAUUUUAAUACCGAUAUUAUUAUUGUAAAAGCCAAAAGUUUUUUCUAACAAUAAAAUAGAAGAAAGAAAAAUAUUGAAAGUGGAAAAGUAUCAUUUAUGAUUAGAAUUAAAGUAACUCAAAUGGUAUCAGGAGGGCAACGUCCUAAGCCUUAAGGCAUAUAGGACCCAAAUUCGAAUCUUGGGGAGACCACUCUGUAAUGCCCUUGACUGACACAGAGCCAAAUAUACCCCACGGUCCUGCCCGGAUAUAAAAACAAAUGACGUCCCAACAUAAGGUAGAUUACCUAUAUGCCUAGUUCUUCUCAAAUUCUCAUUUAUAUAGGCUUUAGUACAAACAUAAACUUCAAUGUUGAAGGGUUUAGCCUACUCAUGGUGGUCACCAAAUGCUCCCUCCCUUCACUAGAAUGAUAAGUUAUCUUUGACUAGUGGCAAGUAUAUGCAUAUGUAGUAGUCUUAGGCUUCAUCUCUUGAAUCUUGACACCCUAUAAGAUUAGGUGAUAAGGACUCUACUUCUUCCUUUAGUUGACAACCUCACAGGUGGAUUACCAUUUUCUCAAAGUUAUUAAAAGAGAAAAAUUAUCAUUUAUAAUCAAAGUUAUGAUAUAUAAAAACUCCUUCAAAUAUAGGCGGAUCAUUCAUCUCUCCAUUUAUACAUAAUAUGAAGCAUCCCCUUUAUGAGAAAUUUAAAUAAAACAUCAAAUUUUUUUAAGUUCUCGUAUUGUCAAAUGAUAAACACGAUGUAACAUAAUUAGUAAAUAUGACAGGACAUAAUUGACAAACAUAGUCUUGUAUGAUUGAUGAACACAACAUGGUAUAUAUAAUUGACAAAUACGACGUGAUAUAAUUAAUAGACACAAUGUGACAAAGUUGGUGAUAUCAACUUCGAAAGUUGAAAAGUGCAACUUAUUCAUAAUAGUUAUGAUAAUUAUUAUUAUUCACUUUAUAAUUUAUAAUAUUAAUAUUAAAGUUACUAUUAUUUACUAAUAUUACUACUAUGUUGCUAUUUCUAUUAUUAACUCUUUGAUUUAUAAAAUAUGUAUUUUAAAUUAGAAAAUUACUAUCAAUUUGAAAGAAAAUAAAAAUGUUUUUUCAUCAAGUUUGGUUGAGCCUUUUUAAUUUUGCGAGUCAGUGUGAAUUCAUUAGUUUGUUUCCCAAAAAAAUUCCAAUAAGAGUUGAUGAUUCCUCCACCAAUUUCUAGUGUAAAAAAUAGAAAAACCACUCAUUUUAUUAAAUAAAUAAAUUUUCUAAUAGUCAUCAAUAGAAGGCAUAUGAUAGUAAGAUGUUGCAGCAACCUACCCACCCAUGUCUAAUCACAUGCACAUCUUGACAUUACUUACAAUUACAUUACACUAUCACCUUAGUUUUCUAAAAUUACUAAGUUCAUGUUUUACAAUUAUUUUUGAAAACAAUUUUCUAUUCAACAAAAAAAUAAAAAUAAAAACAAAAAACAAAAAAAAAUGAAAAUGAAAAGACAUGUAUGAUGAUUAAAAGACAUAAAACAGUUUUGUGUUCUUAAAAAUAAAAAACAAAGGCUUUGUUUGGGAAUGGUUUCAAAAACGACUCUUAGAGUAUAGAUUUUCAUAAAAGCUUUUAAAAAUUGUUUCAUAUUAUUUUCAGAAACAAAAUUAUGUUCAGAAACUAAAUUCUAAGAAAUAGUUUUCUAUUUUUAAAAACAAGAAAACAUAUUUAGUUUAGUUAAUAAAAACAGUUUUAUAAAACAACAAAAGCAAAAAACUUGUUUAAAAUUUGUUUUGUAAAAUGAGUGUUUUAUUCUUUUUAUUAACAUCACAUAGUAAAAAUAAACAAUGUAUGAAAUUAAAAUUUUAAAAUAUAAAUAUAAUUUAUUAGAACAACAAAAAAAUUCGUCAAUUUAAAAAAUUAUAUGCAUCUAUCUUUAAACAAUUUCAUCUUUUUUUUUAGAAAAAAAAAACACUUUAUAGUGUAAACAUAUCUAUUUAUAAACAAUUUCUACUCCUUAUAUAUGCAAUUGAUAAAUUAAUCAAAAUUUGAGCAACAUUUUUCCUAUUUCAUGAUAUUUUAUAAAAUCUUGUACCUAUAAUAUAUCAUACUAAUAAAAACCAAUUAAGCAAAUAUUUAUAAUUAUACUAUUACAAAUCAUGGAUUGACAUUAAUAUAAUUUACCCACAUUACUUGAGCAAUUUCAUCCCAACAUGUUGUCAUAGUUGUUGCACUCUCAUCUGACAAAUCAAUGGAGUGGCUUGUGUUACUUAUGGUUCCUCUUCACCUAGCACUAAAAGGUUUAUAAUUAAAAAGUUCUUUAAAUCUUGUGUGUCAAUUAUGUCUACCUCGAUAAUUUUGUAAGUGAUACACUUACCACAAUAUGGUGGUAGAAAUCCAAAUGUACAAGGAUAACCUAAAUCUACUAAAUAAUAUUUUCUUUUAGUUGGCCAUGGGAAUUGGAUUUCAAGUCUAGUUAAUGCAUCCAAGAAGACACGUGUAUCAUUUGUUGUUCCUUCCCAACUAGCAUAGGUUUUUUUCUUUUUCUUUUUUUUUCUUUCUUUUUUUUUUUGUUCCCCGUAAUCCCUUUUUUUAAUUUAUGGGUUAAACACAUUACCCUCCCUCAACCUCUAGUGUAUUUUAUACUUUACCCCCUCGCAUUCGAAACUCGACAUUUUGGCCACCAAAUUUGUUAAAAAGCAACACCUAGCCCCCAAUUACAAAACUUUCAUAAAAUUAUAAAAGAAAUUGUUUUUUUUUUUCACACUCUAAUUCAAAUAAUGGUUUGAACUUGAGUGGAAUCAACAUUAAAAUGAAAACCUUAAAGUAGAAUUUUCCAAAUGUCUUUUAAAUAUGACAACCACCAAUUUUUAUUUUUGAAUUUAGAGAGAUGUUUGCAUAUUUAUUUGUGAUUUUUGAAUGCAACUUCGAAAUGUGACAGUUUUGAACUUGGAUAACAAUUAUUUUUCUUUACAUUUUAGCCUUAUUUUUUACUCAACAUGUUGGUCAUUGACUUUUUAACAAGUUUAGGGAGCAAAAUGUUGCUCUUUAACAAAUUUAGCGGGCAAAACAUUAAUUUUUGAAUGUGAGAGGGUAAAGUAUAAAACAUGUCGGAGGUUGAGGAGUUAAAGUGUAUUUGACCCUUUAUUUUUUUUCAAAAGGUGAGGUUACUAUCUUUUACGGUGAAAAAGUUAAUUGUUAUCUUCUUAAGAUAUUCAAAACAAUCACCUUCUCAAAACCCAUCAUAAAAUAAACUCAACCGGUGAAAAAAGUAAUUAAUGAUAUAAGACUCAAUAAACAUACAAUGGAACCUUGAUAAAUUAAUACUCAAUAAAUUAAUAACCUUGAUAAAUUAAUAAGAUAAUACAUUAUAGAAAAAUUCAUAUGGUUUUAUAUAAAACCCACUUAUAACAUACUUCGAUAAUAUCUUAAUAUGCAACUAAAUUAAUAUGAUCCGUCUAAAAGGUCUUCAUAAAAUAUGCAUUUAGUGUUGCUUGUAUAAACAAUGUAAUGUUAUAUUUUUUAAAAAUAAAUGCUUCUUUAAAAAUUAAGUAGAUUUAUGAAUUUUACUUAUGUAAACAAAGUACAUGAAAAAUAGUUAGUUCCUAAAAUAAAAUAUUAUAUUCAACUAAUUAAAUAAAACAAUAUUAGAUACAAUACUUUGGAAAAAUAAGGUAUAACUUGAUAAAUUAAUAAUUUAUUAAUUUAUUGAUUAAUUAAUAGUCACUUAAUUAAUUAAUAGAUUUUCCUUGAUCCCAAGGUUGUUAACUUAUUGAGUUUUGACUAUAUUUGAUUUUUAUAAUCUUAAAAACUAUUGACUAAAUAAAAUAUUGAAUUAAAAUAUCCAUUAAAGUAGCAUUUUCCACAUAAAGUUUUACAACUUCUAAAAAUAAUUCAAACUCUAAAAAUUCCCCACAAGUUCUAAACCUUCAAAACAAAAGAAUAAAUAGUAUAAAUAAAAUAUUGGGACCUAUAUACCAUGCAAUUGGUGUAGAUGUCUUCAGAGCUUGAACCCACAUUGUGUUGGCAGAUUCCAUUUGAGAAUCCAUAAUAAACUAUGUCUUGAACUUGGCCUUUGCACCAAGCUUCAACAUAUCACUUAUGAGUUAUGGUAUAGGGCUUGGUUCCAAGUGGAUUAGCAUUAUUAAUGGUCAUAUGCUAAUAUGUUGAUUCUUGUGAGAGUGACUAAAAAAUCACCUUAUUCCCAUAACAACUUUUAUGUAGAUGAGUUCAGUGAGGUGUAAUGACAUAGACCUUGUAAGAAUUCUUGACUCGGUCUUAUUCAAGCAAGGCAUCAAAAGCAUUAUUAUUAUAAGGAUAAGGAGAAGAUUCUCUCUUAAAAGAUAAUGCUAAUAAGUCACACAAUGUGAAUUACUUCUAUCUUUUGAACCUUAUCCAUGGAAUCUCUAAUCAUAAAUUGUGUUACGAGCUUAGCCUAUCUCCCUAUGGAUCUCGAUUACUUACAAUUCCUCUUGAGGUAGUCGUUCAUUAAUAAAAUGAUUAUUUUCCUCAUUCUAAAUCUUGUUAAUUACGUCAAUUUAUCAUAUGUAAUUAUGUUUUCCAUUCAUCAAACAUUUUUCUUGACAAAUUAAAAUUUAAUAUACUAAUUUUAUGGAAUAUUAGAAAAAUCGGUGUACCUAUUUACUGAACUCACUUGCAAUGAAAUAGAGGCAACAUGUAAGAUAUUAUGUAAUAUUUAAAAACUAUUUUUUAUUUUUAAAAAUAAAAAUAAAGAUUCUGUUUUUAAGAACAAAAAAUUGCUUUCUAUUUUUUAAUUGUCAAAUUUUUUUUAAAACAAAAAAAAAUUAUUUUUCAAAAAUAAUUAUCAAAUAGGGUACUAAAUGUGAUUAUUACAAUAAGAUCAUUAUAAGUUAAAAAAUUAGAAUUGUUUUCAUGAUAUGGUAAUUUUUGAUUGGCAAUCAUUUUGUCACUUGUGUGUGGGUUCUUGAAAAGCUGGCAUAAUGUACCAUAGAAUAGCCCCAGGGCUCAACCUGUAAAAAAUUGCCCCCAGGUGACCAAGUACCGGUACGUUCCUAAAAGGCAAAAGGUACCACUUAAAUAAGCAUGGAUGAGCAUUAAAAACUGCAGAGAUACUGAGGGUAAAUAAAGGAAACAGAGGAUUCCUUGCACAGAACAAUUACUCAAGGGUAUUUUCGACAAUUUAGGCAUCGUGACAGCGGUUGCCUCGGAUAGCGACUGUGGGGUCUACUGAAUUAAAAAAAAACGAGCCAAUCAAAUUCUGCCACGUUGCAUUGUCUUGGACUCUGUUUGACCCCAGUCAAAUGUCAAAUUAGGCCUACAAAUAAAGGGAAGAGCCAAACAGGUCCUUGAAUGAUAUGCACACAAAAUCAUGGGAGUUUGGGUGAAUGGUCCAAUGAGCCAUUAUUAUUAUUUUUCUAAUUUUAGUUCUCUAGACCCUAGAUUUGAGGUGUACUCACAUUUUUUAUUUUUAUAUAAUAUUGGAAUGGAACUCUAAAAGAAUUAAAUUUGGGCAUUAUUUUUAUUCUUUUGAGGCUUCUAGUCCUUUGGUUUUUUAUUCUUCCUCACCUAAAAAUUUAUUCCCAUUUAUCAAGCUUCUAUUUGAAAACUAUUUUUAAAAAUAAUUUUAUACUCUCCACACCAAAAAACAUAAGAAAUGACAAUCAAAAACCAUUUUCUAUUUUUUAUUCUUAAAAAUAGAAAAUAUAAUAUUUUCAAAUAAUAUAUUUUAAUUAUUUUUUAUUAUUUUUAUUUGAUUUUUAAUUGUUGUUUUAAGAAAUAAUUAUAUAAACAUGUAGAACAUUUUAGAUUUUCAAAUAUACUUUGAUUUUACAAAAAUUAGAGAAAAAAUUUUAAUGAUUUUUCUCAAAAACUAUAUUUUAAAAUUAUUUUUUUAAAUAAUUACCAAAUAUUCCUUAACGUUGUCAAUAAAAAAAAAUAUUAUAAAAUUUUAGGCAAAAUGUAGAUGUUUUACCGGAUAUGCCCAUUUUAUAGAACAAUUUAAUACCCACAAGUUCAAAUGCAUGAGAUAUGAUUUUCCAUUAAAAAAAAUUUAAAAAAAAGGGAUAUUUGGUAAAAGAUCUACAUAUUUUGCCUAAUUUUUUAUAACAUUUUUCUACUAAGAGUGUUAAUCUUUUUGCUCCCACUCUUAUUUUCUCUCUAAAUUUUCAAGAAUCAAACAUAAGGCUAAAAAAGUCUUUACCUUAAUCCAUGUUCAAAUCAAGUUUGAUCUAUAUAAUAAGUGGGUUUAAUUGUCUAAUAUAUGUUCAUAAUUAACUAAACGUCAAAGACAAAAUGCUUUUAUUUAGGGAGGACAACGGGACAGGUUUGGGACAAGUUGUCCCAUCCCAACUCCGUACCAUUUAUUUAAAAAUUUUCAUACUCGUCCUACCCCGUUUAACUUUUUUUUAAAAAAAAAUCAUUUAAAAAAAACUUAAUUACAUUAAAAUAAAUAUAUUUUAUAUAUAAUAAAAUAAUUAUAAUGUUUUAUAACUUAUUUUAUUAAUAUUUUUUUAUUAUUUAUAUAUUAAAAAUAUAAAAAUAAAACUUAAAUUAAAUUAAUUUCAUAUAUAAUCAUUAAUCACAGCAGAGUGAAAUGGGAUAGGAAAAAACAAUACCUGAACUCAUCUCGGGUUUAAAAAUAAAUUUUAAACUCAUCCCAAACCCAUUUAUUUAAAACUCAAAUUCGUCCUAUUAAAGACGGGGUGAGGUGAAUAUCCGAAAAAACUUGCUCAUUAUCAUCCCUAUUUUUAUUUAACUCAUUUUCAUUACUUGUAUGAUCAAAUCAAUUAUGACAUAAGGAUGUCUAAAUUUAAUUAAACAUAUAUAUAUAUAUAUAUAAGUCAUCAAAACUUGUCUAAGGGCUAUAUUAAACUUGACCAAUUUCUAAUUUUAAUAAAUAUAUGCUUUAUCUUUUCCUUUUUUUUCCAUUUUUUUUAUUUCACCCUUCCACUAAUUUGUACGAAACUAGUUAGAAAAGAGCAAGGGUUGAUUGGGCUGAUUCCUCUCCUACAAUCAAGUCAAUCAUAAUUUUAAUUUAGAGGACAUGAUAAGUAAAAAAAAACAAACCAGUAGUUCACUUGCUUUGUUUCCCUUUUUAUAGGAUUUUGAAAAGGAAUAUUCGUCUUUUCAGGAGCAUCCAUUAUAAGAGGAGUCAUUAGAUCAUUAGAAAGAUAGAGGAUAUUCAUCGAUUAUUAAUUAAUUGAGUCAUGGUUUGUAAGGAUUUUGAUGAUGGAUCAUCAUCUCUAGAAUGUAGUGAAAAAUAUCUCAUCAAUUCAUAAUUAAUGUGUUGUGAUUGGAUCAUUGGAGGGAGUCAUCCACCGGAAUGCCAUAGCCCAUGCCCAUCUUAGAGUAGUGCCUUAUCUCAAAUUCUUCCAUGUGUCAAUCAAUGUAUAUUGUCUUAUCCUUUCAAUACACAAACCCCAUUUGUGUGGAUGUGUUCUUCUUAUAAAUGAAACUAAAGUUAGUUUAGUAAUUUCAAUCGAUCACAACCUUUUGAUAUGAUUUUACUUUAUAUUUUUUCCUAGUAUAACACGGCCUUUUUUAAAAUUUAAUUUAGACGUAAUUUUUUAUUGAUAUGAAAAACGUAGUAAAAAUUUGUCUGAACGAUGGAUUAAACCUUUUUUAAUUUUGAUUGUUUAUAAGCAUACGAAUUCAAUUGGGCAAUGUGUUUUUCUUAUAUAUAAAAUUAAAAUUAUUGCUAUCUAAUAUAUUUUAAUUAAUUGCAUAAUAUGUACAAGAAUAAUUUUUAAUUUAAAAAGAAAUAAAAAUAAUAUAUAUGCCAAAACUUAAAUUUAUAUGAGAAAAAAGUGACCAAAACUUGUCCAAAAGGUAAAUGAAACUCAUAAUUUUUAACCUUGUUGGACAUGUUUUGACUAUAGUAUUAUGUUAUUAUUCAAAGUGUUUUGAUUAUUUCAUUGACUUAUGAGACAAUAAUAUCUAAAAUAGAAUAAUUGCUUAUAUUUAACUGAAAAUAAAUAAAAUUUUGAAAUUCUUACAAAGAUUGUUCUAAAUUUGUUGACUUUCUAUCAUGGUCAAUUAUGAAUUUAAUAUAUCCCAUAAUUAUAAAAGAAAAUAAAAAUAAAUUAAUAUCAUAUUUUAAUUAAAAUAGAAGUUAUAUUAUUUGAAUAAACUUCUUUUUUUUUUUCUUUUAAAUAUUCAAUUAAAUGCUAUAUAUAAGUCCAUGUCUAAAAAAAAAAAAAAAUCUUAAAGCAAGUGAUACCCAAGACUCUCAAUUUGAACAUUCUAAAGAUAAGACAAAUCAUUUAAUGUUAUAUAUUUUUCUAAUGGUUUAGCAUCUAAUCAAUCAAAUUAUAAGACUAAAAUGUGCUACAUAUAUAUGUAUAGUAUAACCUUUUUGAUUGGUCCUUGAAAUUUUACUUCAUAAUAUAAAAAAUAUUUGCAAACCGUACGUGUGAUGCACGUCCUUACUUAUCGAUAUGAAUAUAAUUGUCAAACUUGUUCUUUGAAAUUAAAUUUAUUAUUGUUAACUUAUUUUGGUUUAUUAUAUAAUUCAUAUGAUAAUAACGUUUGAUUAAUAGCUUUUAGAGGAUUAAAAAUAAUAUAUAAAUUAAAAAUUGACUUAAUUUAGAAGAAAUAAAUAAAAUGUGUAAAAAGUCGAGUUAAAUUUACAUAAUGUUUAAAUUUGGCAGGCAUGAUUUGAUUAUAAAUUUACGAGAAAUUGAUGUAUACAUUUUAAAAGUGGGAAAAAAAAUUAAAAAAAAUUUGUUUGUAUUCAAUCUAUUUUGAUUGCUCCACUUGCCCGAGAAUAUAUAUAUAUAUUAUAUCUUAUUAAGUUUUCAGAAGAUCGUUGACUCUCUCCUACUCAAUUAUGAAUUUAAUGACAUGCUUUAUUAAUUUAUUAAUCCGAAUCAACCGUAUCUACAUAGGAAAAAUGGAGUAAAGGAAUAUAAUUUUUUAAUUAUAAAAUAAUUUAGAUUAUUUGAAUAAAGUUAAAUUUUUAAGAAAAAAAGCCCAAUUAAAUGUGCGCCAACCCAAAAACCAUUGGCAUGUCACUUCAAAGAUUGAAUGGCAAAACAGUAAAAUAUCUUGAAAUACAGUGUCAUUUUUGAAGUGUUAACCCAAAACCAGAAUAAAACCCCCCUACCCCCCACUCACAUGUCCACUCUCACCCAUCUCUCACAGUUGCCCCCUCCUCUGCCUAUUCACCAUUUUCUCUCCUCUGUUUGGUAGAAAGCAGAGGAAAAGAAAAGAAGGGAAAAGAAAAGAAAAAAAAAAAAAAAAAAAAUAGAAAUAGAAAACAAAAGGGGGAAAUGGUGGGAGGGAAUCUGAAGAGGCACUCGUCUGCUUGGCCACUCAGAGUCGACAAUGGAGCUUGAAAUGAGAGAUCCAAAUCUCGUUCACAGUUAGCGUUCCCUCAAUGGCGUCAACGACAGUAGCAGCUGAGCCAAAUCCAGAAGUGUUUUCAUGGUUGAAAACCCUGCCUCUGGCUCCAGAGUACCACCCAACCCUAGCCGAGUUUCAAGAUCCUAUCUCCUACAUUUUCAAGAUCGAGAAAGAGGCCUCCAGGUAUGGAAUCUGCAAAAUCGUGCCUCCGGUACCUCCGCCGCCGAAGAAGACUGCAAUUGCAAACCUGACCCGCUCUCUGGCGAAUCGUGCUGCGAGCUCCAACCCUAAAUCCGCUCCCACAUUCACCACUCGGCAGCAGCAGGUCGGGUUCUGCCCCCGGAAGCCCCGGCCGGUGAAGAAACCGGUGUGGCAGAGCGGCGAAUACUACACAUUUCAGGAAUUUGAGGCCAAAGCUAGGGCGUUCGAGAAGAAUUACUUGAAGAAGAGCUCAAAAAAGCCACUUUCGGCUCUGGAAAUCGAAACCCUUUUCUGGAAGGCUUCUGUGGACAAACCCUUUUCCGUUGAAUAUGCAAAUGACAUGCCUGGUUCGGCGUUUGUGCCGGUUAGUUCUAAGAAGUGGCGCGAAGCAGGGGAGGCAGUGACUGUAGGUGAGACUGCGUGGAAUAUGAGGGGGAUUUCUAGGGCAAAGGGGUCAUUAUUGAGGUUCAUGAAGGAGGAGAUACCAGGAGUCACUUCACCUAUGGUGUAUGUUGCAAUGAUGUUCAGCUGGUUUGCUUGGCAUGUGGAGGAUCAUGAUUUGCACAGUUUGAACUAUUUGCAUAUGGGAGCAGGAAAGACAUGGUAUGGUGUGCCUAGGGAAGCUGCAGUUGCUUUUGAGGAAGUGGUUAGGGUUCAUGGUUAUGGAGGAGAGAUCAAUCCUCUGGGUGAGUUCAGAGCUACAUCUAUUAAAAUUGGGAUUCCUCUGUUUUCGUUUCUGCCAUUUUGUGCUGGGAAAUGCUUUAUUUCAUGUUCGUAAUAUGUUGUGUGUUUGAUUUCAUAGUUAUCUUUGGCCAAAUUGCUAUGGCUGGUCACAAAAUUUGCUUAUUUUAAUCAUUGUUCCAUGAGGGCAUUGUUGAUGAAGUAGUUGUGAGGAUGUGGGAAGCAAGAAUUAGUGUCAUGAAUGUUUGUGGCUGGAAAAUAUAAAGUUCAGGAAUGGCAAUAGUUGAGUAGGUCUUUCCUGGAUUUUUGGUAUCGAUAGAUAUUGCUUCACUUAUGAACUUGUGUUGAAAUCAUGUUUAAACUGCACUUGAAGCUUGAAGUGAGAGAUUGAUAAAAAAAUUAGGUUAAGGGUUUGAGUGAACCAGUGGAGAACUAUAUUGGAGGAUUGGCUCCAUUGUUUCUGUCAUAAGGGUGUUCUUCACAUACCUUAUAUUUAUUCAAACAGAUUUUAUCCUUUGUAGUUAGAAGCUUAGGAUGUGGUUUAUGUGAAUAUUCUAGUUGGUCCCUUUGAUUUAUUUAUUUAUAUUUUUAGUGGCUUGCUCCUUUAUGAGCAAGGUCUGCAGAAUUUCACCUUGAGAAAGUUACUAAUGCAACAUCUAUCUUCAGUACCUACACAUUGGAGGUUCCUUUUCUCAUGAGGCAAUCGGCAUCUUUUUUAUUUUUUAGUUGGAUAAAGAGCAUUUUUAGUACACUGGAAAAAUGCUGGAAACAACUGCUUCUAUUUUCUCUCUUUUUUCUUGAGGAAAUUAUAGAACAGGGGUUGCAGCACUUCAGUGGUUUUUUAAGUUUCCUUUUGCUACAAAUGAGUGGUACCUCUUACCAGCUACUUUUGAUGUUAGUUGAAGUUAAUUGGAAACAGAUUGGUUGAGCUAAUUUAAGUAUUACUCCAAAUUCGUAUCUUGCAAUAUUAUUAUUUCCAAGAAGUCUGAUGCUAGUUAAGGUGGUGAUGUACACAUGAGUUGCUAGAAAAAUAGAAAGAGGAAGUAACUGCUGAAUUUUUUUAUAUUAUUUUUGUCAAUGGCAGGCUAGAGUUUAGUAAUGCAUACCAUAUGUGUGCAUUUACAAUUUCAAGUAAGUGGUAGAGGAUAAACAGUAGUAAGGAGGUUUAAAGAGGCAUGAUGAAUUGGACAGUUUCGCUCCUCAUGAGAUUCACAGUAAUUGGUUUAUAUUUUAUUUAAAUUUUUGAUGGAUAAACUUUUUUUUUUUUGGUCCCUACCAGGACUCAAACAUGGAACCUUUAUAACUGGAUCCUAACCCUUCACCACUUUAGCUAUGAUAUUGGCCCAAAUGUGAAGGGGGUUUGAAACCACACUCACCCUAUUUGCUUUGCAAUAAUAGUAUACUUGAUGGUGCAAUGUAGUGAAUGCAAUAUUAUGUCAUGUAUCUGCGAAAAUAAUUGUUUUUAAAAUGAGAGCAUUAUAAAGGUAAAAUUUUACCAUCUAGUCUUCCAAUAAAUCUUCCUUUAAUCACUUAUUUAUUUACUAAAUUGGCAUUACCAAAAAAAUUAAUAUAAAAACAACAUAAAGAAAAUUAUGAACAUAAAUUUUAGUGAAAGAUAAACUCCAUGGUUCCACAUUGAACACAUUCUUGCACUUAAACCUUUUUUUUUUUUUUUUCAAAUUUUUUUUGGAGAAAUUUUUAGUUUCUAUUACAUCUAAUAUUAGAUAUGUACCACACAUAUUCCUUUUGUCAUGUGUUUUAGUUUGUAUACAAUAAAUAACGUUUCUUUGCCAAGUUCCAAGAUUUGGGUCACUUUGAGAGAAGCCUUAAUGCCACUUUUAUUGUGCUUAUUCCUAAGAAAGGGGGUGCAGAGGAUUUGAGGGACUUUCGUCCCAUUAGUUUAGUGGGGAGCCUUUAUAAGAUUCUAGCCAUAGUUUUGGCUAACAUCCUAAAAAGAGUCGUCGGGAGAGUGAUCUCAAACUCCUAACACGCUUUUGUGGAGGGAAGACAAAUCUUGGAUGCUGUUCUUAUAGUAAAUGAGGUGCUAGACUCAAGGUUGAAAAGCUCAAAAAGGGGGGUUAUUUGCAAAAUGGAUAUCGAGAAGGCCUAUGACCAUGUGAAUUGGGGAUUCUUAUCAGCAGUCUUGGAAAAAAUGAGCUUUGGGGCAAAAUGGGUAAGGUAGAUGAAGUGGUGCAUAUCCUCAACUCGGUUUUCAGUUCUGAUUAAUGGGACUCAUGUUUCUUUUAAAGUUCUAGAGGUCUAAGACGAGGAGAUCCUCUUUCCCUUUUUCUCUUUAUUUUUGCAAUGGAGGUGUUCUCUAGCAUUUUAAAGAGGGCUAUGGAGGGUGGCUUCAUUAAGGGUUUCUUAGCUGGUGGGAGAGGAUGAGAGGGUAUGGUAGUGUCCCAUCUUCCUUUUGCUAACAAUACAUUGAUUUUUUGUGACUUAGAUAAGGAGCAUUUGGAGGCUUUAAGUUGGGCUUUCAUGUGGUUUGAGGCGAUUUUUGAUCUUAAAAUUAUUUUGGAUAAGAGUGAGUUAAUCCCCGUGGGAGAGGUUUCUAAUGCAGAAGAGUUGGUUGGGGUGGUGGGUUCUCUCCCUUCUACUUAUGCGGGCCUACCUUUGGGCGCUUCCUUCAAGUCUUUACCUAUUUGGGAUGUAGUGGAGGAAAGAUUUCAAAAAAGACUCACUAUGAGGAAAAGACAAUAUUUAUCAAAACGAGGGAGAUUUACUUUAAUCAAGAGUACUUUAUCUAGUUCUACUAAUUUACUAUGUCUUUAUUUGUGAUCCCACGUAGGCUGAGCCUUAGAUUGGAGAAGCUUCAAAGAGAUUUCCUUUUGGUGGGGAGGAGAGCUCCAAAGAAAGCCUCAUUUAGUGGAAGUUUUCUAGGGAUUAGGAAGUUGUCUACUUUGAACAAAGCCCUCCUUGGAAAAUGGAGCUGGGGAUUUGCUUAUGAGAAUGAGGCUUUGUGGAAUUUGGUGAUUGUAGGGAAGUAUCAUGAGGAAGAAGCGGGGUGGUGUUCUUGAGUUUCAAAGGAAGGUUAUGGGGUGGGCCUUUGGAAGGUUAUCUGGAAUGGGUGGAAAGAAUUCAACAAUAGGGUUGUUUUUAGGGUAGGAAAUGGUAGGAGGGUGAGGUUUUGAAAGGAUAGGUUGUGUGGGGAGGAUACUCUGGCACUGGCUUUUGUAGAGUUGUUUUUAAUCGCCAUUGAUAAAGAAGCUUGGGUAAACCAAAUGUGGGAAUAGGGUGGGGAAGGGGGUUGUUGGAACCAGGUUUUGACAAGACAAUAAAUGAUUGGGAAUUGGGAGAGGUGGAAGAGUUGCUUAAUAGGAUGCAAGGGCAAGUGAUUAGAAGUGGUGUUGAGGAUGUCAUGGCUUGGUGGAUAACAAUGGGAGGCACCUUUACAGUGAAGUCCUUUUACUACUCCCUAGUAGGGCGCUCUCUAAAAGGUUUCCCAUUAGGUAUUGUGUGAAAUCCUUUGGUCUUGAUGAGAGUUAGUUUUUGCUUGGGAAGUGGUUUGAGAAAAUUUUUAACUCUAGAUUAGCUAAAAAGGAGGGGUUGGUGUCUUCCAAGCAGACGUUAUUUGUGUAAAAAUGAAGAGGAGUCAACAAACCAUAUCCUUCUCCACUGUCCAAAUGUGACCUUGUUGUGGUUGUGGCACCUCAUCCUUUCUCUUUUUAAUGUCCAAUGGGUAAUGCCUUUCUCGAUCAAGGAUGCCCUUCUUAGCUAACAAGGAUCCUUUAUUGGGAAGAGAAGGAAGAAGGCGUGGAGAGCAACUCAUUUAUACUUAUUUUGGACCAUUUGGAAAGAGAGGAAUUGAAGAGCCUUUGAAGAUUCAGACUUGAGAGACCAUGCUAUUUUACGCUCCUUCAUGUACAUGCUUUUGAAGUGGGUCAGGGUUCAUUUAGGGUCUAGCACUUUGUCUUUAUUUGACUUUAUUGAUUGAUUGGGCUGUAAGUGAAGUGAGGGUGUUGUUUUUUUGUGAAUCCCUCCCUUUUUUGGUCUUGUAUAUAUCGUGAAUACUUUAGGCGCGUUUUAGGCGCUUUUAAUACAAUUGCUUUUACCUAAAAAAAAAAGACAUGAACAGUAUGAACACCUAUCAAAUAAAUAAAUAAACUGUAUGAACCUGAAUGAGUUUUGGAUUUUCCCCCCCAAUAUAUUAGUGAACAAUCUAGACUUCCAUUUUAUGUUCUUCUCUUCCUUAUGCAUAUUAUUAGCUAUAAUGGUUGAUUAUGUGAGAAGGAUGGUCAGCUAACCUUUCUUUCUGUUUGUUUCAGUCACUUUUGCAGUACUUGGUGAGAAGACCACUGUCAUGUCACCUGAAGUAUUUGUUAGUGCAGGGAUUCCAUGCUGCAGGUAAUGCCUUCAGCACUGUCAAGUUCUAUUUCUCAUUUUAUUUUGGUUUGGUUCAAAGUGCAGUAGUUGCAUUUGAAGCAGGAAUUACUUGUCAUGACAUCUAGAGUAUAUGAUGCAGUUGGCUAAGUGAUUCCUACAAAAAGCAGGUGACCUGCUUAUGGAAGGACUCAAGAAACAGUUGUAAAGGCAAUAUAUUGCAGAACUAAACAUACAAUAACCGUAUUUUUACUAUGAUUCAUUCUCUAUUGAAAUUGCUUGUAACAUACCUUUAAUGUCCUGAGCUGUGGCUAGGAUACAUCUUUAUGUUUUCUUACCUUGUGAUUUGCUUCAAAACCAGGUUGGUACAAAACCCUGGAGAGUUCGUUGUCACUUUCCCAAGAGCCUACCAUUCAGGCUUCAGCCAUGGUGAGAAAAUUUUAAAUUUCAAUUUGUUUUCUUCAUGUUGUAAUUGUUUUUAUUGUUGUUGUUAUUAUUAUUAUUAUUAAUGGGGAUUCUUAUUUCAUUGACUUGAUUUUUUUGGCAAGCAGGGUUUAAUUGUGGGGAGGCAGCAAAUAUUGCCACUCCUGAAUGGUUGAGGGUUGCAAAAGAUGCUGCAAUUCGUAGAGCUUCAAUCAAUUAUCCUCCCAUGGUGUCUCAUUUCCAGUUGCUUUAUGAUCUUGCAUUAGCAUUAUGUUCAAGGUUUGUUUCCUGAUUAUUGUUAAAUUUCCUUACAAAAAUUGUAGUAGCUGUAUUAUUCCACCAACAUCUUUCUUAUUUGCUUUGCUAAUCGAUUCUGCUUUUUCAAACUAGUCAUGUUCAAGCUAGGAGGCACUGGACUCCUUUUUAAGUACUGCUAUAUUCAAUUAUCGUGUUUUUGCAUAGGGUUGUUGCAGUUUAUUGAAUGAGUUUUAUAUUAUAUUGAUAAAAAUUUGUGGUCUAGAGUAGAGUGUCCCUUCCCUACUUUAUUCACUUUCAUGCUGUUUGGAACAUUUCAUGAACAUAAGCAUGGCUUGUGAAUCCAUUUUAUAAAUUGUGCAAAAUUUCUAUUUAUCUCAGUGCUAUACUUUCUUUUUGCAUGUAAUUUUAACUGGACUGAAAUCCCAAGUACUUCCUAUAUUUUGAAAAUUUUGCAUUUUUGACACUCCUAUGACAAGAAACUUGCAUUAGAAUGCGAAUUGAUGAUAAAAUUAGUUGUUAUAACAUAUAGCAUCUCUUUUUUUCCCUUUAUUUUUUUGUGCAGGAUCCCCAUGAGCAUAAGUGUUGAACCACGGAGUUCUCGACUCAAGGAUAAGAAGAGGGGUGAAGGAGAAACAGUGGUCAAGGAGCUGUUUGUGCAGAAUAUAAUGCAAAACAAUGACCUGCUUCAUAUUCUUGGAAAGGGGUCCUCAAUUGUACUUCUUCCCAAAAGAUCUUCUGAUAUCUCUGUUUGCCCAAAUUUACGUGUUGGAUCUUCAUCAAGGGUAAAACCUAGGUUAUCCCUUGGUUUAUGCAAUCUGGAGGAAGCAAUGAAAACCUCAAAAAGUAUAGUAUCUGAUGAUAGUGAUAUGGGAAUGAAUCAUGACUUUGAGCACUUGAGGGGUUUCUAUUCAGUGAAAGGAAAAUUUGCUUCUUCAUGUGAUAGGGACAAGCUCCAUUUAUCACAUGGAAAUGAUAAUGGCAGUGCUUUGACUUCUCAGACACAAAACAUGGAGACUAAAAUUGAAAGUAUCUCUCAUGGGGAUGGGUUGUCAGAUCAAGCAUUAUUUUCAUGUGUCACAUGUGGGAUUUUGAGUUUUGCUUGCGUUGCUUUAAUUCAACCAAGAGAAGCAGCAGCAAGAUACCUAAUGUCAGCUGAUUGUAGCUUCUUUAACGAUUGGAUUGUUGGUUCUGGUCCUUCUGGAGUGGCAAAUGAGGAUUUCACUGGUGUCAGUGGGGAUGUGCACAAUUCUGAGCUGAAUUCCUGUUCAGGUAGGUUUUAUGAUGAAGCAUUCUUUUGUUAUUGGCUUGUUUGAUUUUAUCUUACAUUGUGGUAAAGUAGAACUUUUCUUUGUUUAUAUUCUGCAAGUAACCACAUCAAUCUUGCAUUGAUAUUGAUGGGGCCAUGCUUGCACAUUAGGCCAGAUCUCUGGGAUUUGGCUCAUUCAUGAUCAUAAUGAUGUUGAAUUUACUCAUCAAAAAAAAUAAAAUAAAAAUGAUGAUGUUGAAUUUACUGUUAGGUGGCCCAGGGAAAGGAAUUUAUACAUCAAAUGACUAUUAUCCUGUGAUUUGUGCAAUUUGGCAUUAUGCUAGACCAGAGGUAGCCUCACAGUUUAUUGAUUUAGUGUACUAUUGCAUCUAUUAUUCUUGCCCAUGGCUCCUGGUUGAACUGUCUGUGCUAUAGACUUAAUUUCUUGUGGCUUCGACCAUCAAGUCCUUAAUCCUUUUUGUUGGAGCUUGGAGGGUGGGGUUGGGAAGUAUCCCCUACAUUUGCUUUACACAUCAUCAUAUUAUGUAAAUCCUUUAGUUUUGUACUCCUUUCAUCAUAUACACACACUGAUUCCAUUGUUUUAAAAUUUAAUCUACCUUGUAGUAGUUAAAUCCCCCAACAUUGGAUCUGCUCAACCUUCAAAAUCAGGCUUUUAUGUCUUUUGAAUACUACUUGUGAUAAUCAUCUUUCUACCUUAUGUCUAUCUCUGUUUAACUUUUCAAAUCAGGUUUCUAUAUCUUUUGUGUAUUACUUCUGAUAAUUUCAUUUGUCUCUUUUGCUCAUUUUUUUGAUACCCUCUCUCUCUCUCUACUCUCUGCAUAACUUUAAAAUUUGGUUUCUGUAUCUUUAUUUUUUUUUUUUAAUCAGAAAUGAAGAAAUAUGUGUUAAUAGUAGCAAAGAUACAAGAGAAGGAUGAGAGGUCCUUUCCUCAAAAUGCAGAAUCUAAUCAAAGUAAGAAUACACCCCUCUAUAGAAAAUUAUAUACAAAGAUAAUCCCCAAUUAUCUCAAACUUUUGAAUCACAAAUUGCAGUCUAGUUGAGUUUUAAAACACUAAGAGGAACUCCUCUAAAAGCAACAGCACAAGAGACCCAUAGAUAGGAAUAUAAAUGAAGUAAAUCCCAUAUCAUUCCUUCCGAUCUCCCCUUAUCCUCAAAAAACCUAGCGUUUUACUCUUGCCACACAAUCCACAACAAAGUGAGACAAGCGAUUUGCCAAAGUGUCUUGCCUCUAAAGAUUUAAUUGCAACAAUCAUGUCCUCAAUACUCUUUGGUGGAACCUAAUCCAACCCUGCUAGAUUGAAGAGCUUGUGCCAAAACCCAAUAGUUAAAGGGUAAUGAAGAAAAAUGUGGUCAAUCGAUUCUUCAUUUCCUUUACAUAGAAUGCACCACUGAGGACAAAGGGAUUUGUAGGGUCUUCUCAAUUGUAGCUUGUCAUUGGUGUUUACCUUCCCAUGUACUACUAACCAAGCAAGGGCCUUAACCUUUGAAGGGACUUUUGAUCUCCACAAAAACUUAGUCAGAAGGAACAAGACAGGAUUUGAGAAAUUUGACAAGGCCAAGAAAAAAGAUUUAAUUGUAAACAAGCUUGAUGAGGAUAAAGACCAAGCUCUUGAAUCUGCUAUAGAAGGAGAAAAAUGCAUUGAACUAAGGGAGGACAUGAGUGUCUUGAAGGAGUUCAAUUUCUGUAUUAGUGAGAUUACGACGAAAAUUAAAAUUCCAAGAGAGUGGAUAGGAAUUGCCAAGGGCAAUUGAGAUAGUGAGGUUUUUCACAUAAAUAACUCUUAUCAAAACUAGGGAAUUGAGAGCACAAAAGUUGGUUAUCCCACCAUAGAUCUUCCCAAAAACAGAUUAUCUUCCCAUUCCUUACCACUAGGCGGAUAUAUGAGGGGAAAUCCUGAAAAACUUGAACAAUAGCCUUCCAAGGACAUCUGUGUGACCAUCUAACCGCCAUGUUGGCGUCCCAUCCAUUAGGAUGUGUUCCAUAAAUACUCAUAAUAACCUUAUGCCAAAGACCACUCAUUUCCCUAGGGAACCUCCAAAACCAUUUUCCUAAAAGAGCAUUAUUUCUCAAGGAAGGCUUCUCAAAUCCCAAAUCUCCCAACUCCUUUGGCCUACAAACAACAUCCCACUUGAUAAGAUGACCACUCUUUUAGGUAUUACUUUUAAUAAUUUCAUCUUUCCACCUCUGUCAUCUUAGCAAGGAUGAAAGUAUUGCUAUAUAUCGCCGAUAUUUCAUCGAAAAAUUGCUUAUUGGUUGGGCUUGACAUGAUCAAUGGGAGGGAAAUGUUGAUCAUGCAAUUUUUCGCCGAUUUAUUGGUGAUAUUAUGAUAUUUACCAAUAUUUUGAUUUUUUGCUGAUUUUUCAUUGCCACAUCAGCCUUGGCACCACUUUUCUUUUUCUCAUUUAAUGUCAAAAUUUAUUAUUGUAAUAAUGGGCUGGUAGUGAUGAAUCAAGCAAAGCCCACAUGUGACUAGCUCUAGCGAAGCCCAACCCAACAAUGAGUUUUGAAUGCUCAUAUGGAACUGCCUUAUUAAAUAAGACUAUGUUUUGUAUCCCAUUUCUGAUGUGGAAUUCAUUAUCUCUAGGAUAUUAAAAAUCUCGCACCAAAAUGCACACUACCAAAUCACACACACACACACACACAGAUAUAUAUAUAUAUAUAUAUAUAUAUAUUAUAGAUGAGUUAAUUUUAAAUUAUCUUAUGAUAUCUUUUUUGUAGUAAUUAAUUAUAGGAUGAAUAUAAAUUUAUAAAUAACAUAUUUUAUUUUAUUUUAUUUUAAAUAAAAAAUACUUAUAUAUAUAAACUUUUUUUUUAUAUCCUUCAAUAUAUUCAAACUAAAUAUAUUAUUAUUUUACUACUAAUGUGAUUUCAAAUUUGGUAUAUUAUUGCCUAAUAUUAUAAAUUUAUUAUACAUAUAUAAAUCUCUUCCUUAAAACUACUUCAAUUUAUGUAUUAUUGUAUUUUUUUUUAUCAUUUUUUUGGAGUUUUCCCUAACAUUCCAUGAAUUUUGAUCAUUUUUUAUCAUUAUUUUUUUAUCAAAAUUUCCCAAUAUAUCCAUAAAAUCCAACUACUAAUAUAUAUGUGAAAACCGAUAUUUUCAUCUUUACAUCUAAAUUGCAACUCUUUGUCCCCUUUUGUGCGUGUGUGUCCUUUCUGUCAUUUUCCAUUGUAUCAUAGUUAACUACCAACUGGUCUAGUCAAUUUCUGUUCCUCAAUUUGCUAAGUUCUUUUGUUUUCGUUUCCCUUAUUUUGGAGAUAGGUUUUAAUCCUUUGAUAGGCUUGUAACCUUGAGGAGGGGUGAACUAGCAAGGCCACCUUGGCAUUUUGAAUCUAAAACUAAAGGGAUUAGGUUGUAUUUUGUAAGUAGAGCAGAAGCAUAAGAAUUUACAUUGUCUUUGGAGGAAAACAAAUAGUAAUAAAUGAGGUUUAUUUUAAUGCAGACAGCCAAAUAAACUGACACCAAUGUAAAACCUCUCUCCCUCACUUAGCGCAUCAUUAGCAUGAGAAAAUGGUGGAGGAACCAGAAGUCCUCUCUACAAGAGCAGCACUAUAAAUCCAUAUCAAUGUUAACAUUGCCAUGAAAUGUCUCCUUCCCACUUGUUGCAGAAGAGAGGAAAAAGCUAAAUAGUUCCCCCCCACUCUCUCAUACAAUUAACCAGUGGAGAAAUUCGGUUUUGAUGUUAACCUCAUAUCAUGGUAAUUGACUGCUAAGUUGCCUUACAAUACCUUUCUUUUGGUUAUGGAAUUAUUGAUCUUAAAUUUUGCAGUCUGAAUGAGAUUGUAUAAAUUUCAUAAUUGACUCAGACCGCUCAUUAUGUUGGCAUAAAUUCAUUGUUGCAUUCAACCUGCAUAACUUUCUGCUAACAUCUAUGUUUGUCUAUUCUUGUUUGGCAGGUUCUUGUUUUAAACUCACACAUUUUUGUUUUUUGAAUACAGGAUGGAUGAGAAAGCGGGUUCCAAAUGCUUUAUUUGAUGUCCCUAUUCAGUCUGCUAAUUAUCAGAUUCAAACGGUAGAUCAAAAUAAUGAAGUGGUUUCAAAUACUGGAACACAGAAAAACACUUCUGCUCUUGGUCUAUUAGCCUUAACUUAUGCCAAUUCGUCUGAUUCCGAGGAAGAUCAGCUUGAGCCAGAUAUUCCUGUCUAUACUGAUGAAAUUAGCCCAAGAAACUGUUUGUUGGAAAGCAAAUUUCAAUGUGAUAAUAAUGGAUUGCCUUCUAUUAAGCGGGACCAUUAUGCUGGUGCAACCAGGGGUGAGAGUCUCUCUUUUUCAAGGCUUGUUUGUGGGGAUGAAGUUCCUCUGCAGAUUGUUGAUUCUUAUGCAAAUAAUAUACAUGAAAGAGCAAAUUUCAAGGACAGAAGUCAUCAUGCUUCUGAUUGUUCUGUGGAGUUGGAAGCAGAUAAUCUUGCUUCUACUGAAUCAAAUAGUUCAGAAGGUAUAUUUAGAGAUCCAUUAGCCAUAUCAUGGGCCACUUCCAAAUAUUCCCCAGUUGGCCAUGAUGCUGAAAGAGCAAAGUUUAGCAAUGCCAUUGUCCCAGUAGAGAAUACAAACAUGUCAUUUGCUCCAAGAUCUGAUGAAGAUUAUUCUAGAAUUCAUGUCUUCUGUCUUGAGCAUGCUGUAGAAGUAGAGCAGCAACUUCGUCCAAUAGGUGGAGUGAAUAUGUUGCUACUUUGCCAUCCAGGUAUGAUAUAAUAUAAUUUAUGCUCAGAUACUUCUUAUAUUGUAUGGAUAUUCUCCCUAUUGUUUCUCUUUCUUUUGUAAAUGACCUUGUGCGUAUAAAGCUUAAUCAGACAAUGAAAAGCAAAGAAUGUUUGAUUAUUAUUUAUGAAUAGAGGGAACACAAGAAGUUUGUAGUGAUAAUCUUCAAUUUACCUUGUGAUAUGUGAAUUUUAUUAUAUUAAUAAAUGGGGCAAUCUCAGUUCUGUAAGGGGAUAUUUCUAUAAGUAUUGGCUGAAGAGAUGAAUCUAUGCUAGGUAGUGGUAUUAUUGUCUUCCUUGCAUGGGUGGAAGGCUCAUUUACUUUACAUAUGAUCUAACAUUACUCACCCUGAACUUGUGUGAAUUAUUGAGUGGUAUAACAGCUGGUUAAGUAAAGAAACAAUUAAAAUGACCUGGCAUAUACCAUGUGUGAAAACUUAAAAGCAUUUUCUGCUUUUGAUAGAAUUGCUGUCCUUCACUUAUUAAUAUUCCCCCGCCCACCCCACUCUAUCUUUUCAUUCUUUGUGUCAGCUUGUAAUUGACUUAUUUAUCUAUAUCUGAUAUAAAUGGUGAAAUCUCUUAUCAUUGAUUUUACAUGUUUUGUUAUGGGUCCCUCUAAUCGUUCAUGAUUUUGGAAAUAAAUUUGCAGAUUAUCCCAAGGUGGAGGCUGAAGCAAAAUUAGUGGCAGAAGAUCUUGGAAUAGAUUAUCUCUGGAAUGAUUUUGUGUACAGAGAUGCAACUAAAGAGGAUGGUGAGAUGAUUCAAUCAGCUUUGGAUAGUGAGGAAUGCAUACCUGGAAAUGGCGACUGGGCUGUAAAGCUGGGUGUCAAUCUCUAUUACAGUGCUAAUCUGAGCCGCUCUCCUCUCUAUAUUAAGCAGAUGCCAUACAACUCUGUUAUAUACAAUGUAUUUGGGCGCAGUUCGGCUAACUCACCCACAGCACCUGAUGUUUAUGGGAGAGGGCCUGGCAAGCAGAAAAAGAUUGUAGUGGCAGGGAAAUGGUGUGGGAAAGUUUGGAUGUCAAAUCAAGUUCAUCCCCUUCUAGCACAAAAGGAUCCUGAAGAACAAGAGGAAGAUAGGAACUUCCAUGUUUGGGUAAAAAAGCCUGAUGAGAAGCCUGAGAGAAAAUCAGAAAGUAGCCGGAAAGCUGAAACAAGCUCUGCACCCAGAAAGUCUGGUAGGAAGAGGAAAAUGAUGGUAGAGAAUGGAUCAACUAAGAAAGCCAAUCGUCCAGAGAGAGAAGAUCCGGUUAGUGAUUCAGAUGAUGCACCAGAUGAUAAUUCUCAUCAGCAGCGGACAAGGAUUCUUAGAAGCAAGCAAGUGAAACAAGAGACUCCUCGGCGUCGGAACAGUUGUGAGCAAAGCGCCAGAGAGUUUGAUUCUUAUGUUGAAGAUGAGCUGGAAGGUGGACCAAGCACACGCCUCCGGAGGAGAAACCCAAAACCUCCCAAAGAGUUGGAAGCCAAACCAGUAGUAAAGAAGCAAACAGGUAGGAGAAAGGUGAAGAAAACUCCUGUCCUGAAGGCUCCAGCUAGCUUUAAGAUGAGGGAGGAGGAAGAAUACCAAAGUGACUCAGAGGUAGGUGCCAAGAACAUAUCAGCUAGGAAAAAGGCAAAGAAAGCUCCAGCAGCCAAGGCACCAGGCAACCACAACAAUGCAAAGAUACAAGAUGAGGAAGAAGAGUACCAGUGUGACAUGGAAGGAUGCACCAUGAGUUUCAGCUCGAAGCCAGAGCUGGCAUUGCAUAAAAAGAACAUCUGUCCAGUGAAGGGGUGUGGAAAGAAGUUCUUCUCGCACAAAUACUUAGUGCAGCAUCGGCGAGUCCACAUCGAUGAUCGUCCCCUCAAGUGUCCCUGGAAGGGCUGCAAGAUGACAUUCAAGUGGGCGUGGGCUAGGACAGAGCACAUCAGGGUUCACACAGGUGCCCGGCCUUACAUUUGCACCGAGGCAGGCUGUGGGCAAACGUUCAGAUUUGUAUCCGACUUCAGUCGUCACAAGCGGAAGACUGGUCAUUCUGCAAAGAAGGCCAGAGGAUAAAAGUUUGAAAGAAAAACAGGGGGGUGGAUAAUUAAAAAGGAGGGAUGUAAUUUAACAUGGGAAUUGGUGGGCUGGGGUGGGGGUUAGUGAAACUGUUGUUCCAUUGACAGGGUUAGGCCUAGGUUCAAAGUUAGUGUUAGGUUUUCCCCUGUAAUUUUUCUUCUCCUUUUUAACAGCUAAAAUCUCUUUUGUCCUGGGUCUUCAUUGGGCCCAUUUUUAUUUAGUUCAACCAGAGCAAUUGCUUGGAGUCUUGAAAUUACCUGUUCCCCCUCAUCCAUUAGAUCAAACAGAGGAUUCUAUUGUGCAGGUCAGAGAUGUAUUCUAAUUCCAUUACUAGGCUUCCAACUCAUGCUCAGGUUUCACAGGGCACGCCCACGCUGGAUUCAUUGUAGGCCGUCAGGGAGGAGACCUCUAACCAGAUUCUCUGAUGGUGGGCCUCUUGCUAUUAUUUGGUGGUAGUCUAGUUUUUUUGAGUUCCCCAGCAUAGAAAUGGAUUCUUUAGGCCUGUUGGGAAGGUUUAAGUUUAAGGACCUUUUGUCAUUUAAAAUCACCAACUCUUUUAGCGGAGACAGCUUUAAAAAUAUUUUCUCUACUAUUUUGCGUGGAUAUUUUACGAUUCCACACUCAUUGUUACAAGAAAAUAGCCAAUCAAAUACUAAAUUUGGAAAUGGACAUGACGUCACUACCCAGGUAGAAAGGGAGGGACUUGUUUGAAAGAAAACGCGUUGUACGGAACACACAGUACAUAACUGUUGGCUCAUUUCAAUUGGCCAUUCCUCUGUUCAGAUUCUUACACGUCCAUCAUCUCUCUCUCUCUCUUCUCGCCCACCUACGUUUCACCCCCCCCUCCUUGUUUUUGUUUAUUUAUUUCUACUACACAAAUACGUAUUAUUCUUCUUCGAUAUUAAAAAAAAAAAAAAAAAAUGUAACUGCAAAAAGUAACACCUUUUUUCUCCGCUUUUUGUUCUCUCUUCGCCCCUCGCUCAUCGCUUACAUUUCUUCACACCAAAAAAAAGGGGGCUUUCUCUCUCUCUCUCUCUCUUCCUCCAUAAUUAGGGUUUUGAAAUGUGGAGGGAGAAUGGACGGCUCUGAAAACACCGUUUCAAUUCCCAAUGAAGAUGAGUUAGGGUUAGGGCUCCGGCCUUCGUCUCCUGCCCAGCCUGAUGUUGAGAAGCUCAACCAGGAAUUCCUGUCUCUAGUGUUGGAGCAACACGAGCCUGUUGUUGAAUCUCUCGCUUUGGAGCAACAUGAGCCUGUUGUUGAAUCUCUCGCUUUGGAGCAACAUGAGCCUGUUGUUGAAUCUCUCGCUUUGGAGGAGAGGGAGGAGGAGAAGGAGGAGGAUGAGGAGAGUGAUUCCAACGGUGAGGUGAAAGCAAGUGAUGAUGAGGAGGAGCAGUGCGAGAAUCUUGAGGACGAAUCGGCGGCCAAGGAUGACAAGAGUGCCAGGUUUCAGUAUCCGGUGAGGCCGGAUGCGGUGGACUGUUCCUUUUAUCUUCGGACUGGGACGUGUAAGUUUGGAUCCAAUUGCAAGUUCAAUCACCCGAUUAGAAGGAAGAACCAGGUAUCUUUUGUAGAUUGACUUUGACUGUUAUUAUGGAUUGUUUCGGUUGAGAUCGGCGCAGUUUCUGUUCAUAUUUUCUGAAUGUGGCGAAUGAUAAAUAUUGGUUUUCUCACUUACGUAUAGAUUGAUCAGUUAGGUGGCAGUUUGUUAAAGGGAUUUUUGACUGGUUGCAGAAGAUGAACAUUUAUGUUUGUUGAAGAUAGUUUUCCAGUUAAGGAGUAGUCUGAUGAUUGAUGAAUUUGAGUUAGAUCAUUUUUCUCUUUUAGUGUAGAUUGAUGAAUUUGAGUUGGAUCAUUUUCUCUUUUAGUUUUGUAGCGCAGGUUUUGUUCAUCUGUUGGCGUCGAUUAGUUUGACAGUUCAAAUUAAAUUAAGGGUAAAAUGAAGCUGUAGAUGUAACACUGAAAGCUAUUCCUUUUAAGGUGCUAGCAUCUUAUAAAGGCUUAUAAAGAAAUUUUGGCUGUUUUAGGAUUUGAAUAUUGAUUUUGUUGGUCUUGAAUAAUUGGAAAUGAUUUAUGUUUACUGAAUUUUGUGUACUGGCUUUUUUGCAUAUCCUUAUUUUGAAGGUUGCUAAGGAGAAGGUGAAGGAAAAGGAAAAGGAAGAAUUUCCAGAAAGGCCAGGGCAAACAGAAUGCAAGGUUAUUACCUUCUUUUGUAGCCUCUUUUUCUUUAUAUAUAAUUUUUGAUGUUUUAUGACAUAAUUUACCUCCAGCUGGUAUUUUAAGCUGCUUUGAAGCAAAUAAACUAGCAUCAAUCCAUAAAGCGGUGUAUCCUAAUUUCAAUGUGUGAAUUUAUUAUUAUUAUUUUUAUUGUGAAAGGCAUGAUAGAUUUUUUCUAUCUGAAACUAUUUCUUGUGCCAUAAUUUCCUUUCUCAUCUGUAUUAACUGAUCAAUGGUGAGAAUUUUACCCCAAGGAGCUGAUUGAGCAAAAUAAUUCCUUGGGAGGGACACAAAAACUCCUAACUAGUGAAGACUAGGGGAAAAAGAACCUCCUAAGCUUCAUCUGUAGUUGUACGUCAUAAAAGGUACCACCAUCUCUAACACAUAGUUACUGAAACUUUUGCAAAACCUUUGGGAAUCCAAUGACCUUGCCCACCCAGAAAGCUCUAACAGUUGGUGAAGGAUUUUGAUCUGCUGCCAAGACAAAGGAUCUUAGAAAUUUAGCAUUAACCCCCUCAUACACCAAGCAUCAUCCGUAAGGCAUAUCAAACAACCUACCUAAAAGAAUCCAUCCCAAACCAUGAACUUAUGCAACCUUACUCUCAUAACAUUCUAUCUUUUUCAUCUGCAAAUCUCUGAAGCCUUACCUAUUAAGUAUUCUUUCCUUCCUACCUUUCCUCUAAAGAAAACUAAUUCCAGUCUUCCCAAUCAACUCUAACUGGGACCAGAAUGAGGGAAGGCAAAAUAAAAUAAAACAGCAAGCUGGAUAAAGUAAUUCUAAUUAGAUUAAGCUCCCUUCCUAGACAGAAAUUGCCUCUUCAAUGUAGCAAGUCUCCCCUCAAAAUGUCCACCAUUGGUCUCAAACAGCUUUAGACUUAAAAGAAGCAUUCAAUGGCAAAGAUGGCAAUUUACCCACUUUAUCCCCAAGCAAUGCUGCCAAAACUGUGAUACUAUCAAAAAAAAAAAAAAAAAAAAAUGCUGCCAAAACUGUGACAAUUUCCAUGUUUCGAUCUCACUCCUUUGCACAUUCACCUUUAAUCUGGAACAGAUUCAACUAGGUGUGACAUUUGUUAUGGAUGAAUACUUAACUAUUAAACUGUAAUACAUGCUUAGAAUCCGGAAGAGAACUUCUUAGACCCUAGUUAUUGAAGGCUUUUACAGCUUUGUAAAGAGUUUAUCCACUGUAUGAGGAAAUAUCCUUUAAGCACAGUCUAUAUAGUUUAACACAAACACAGGCAACAUUAGUAUGUCUUAAUGCUGUUUUGAUGGUUGGAUCAACCUCUUCGCUGACUUAAAAGGGUUAGCAAAGCUCUAAGAAAAAUGUGGCAUGGUAGAUCCUAAUCUAAGCACUCAAGUAUGUUAGAUGGUCCUACAGGCAGACACCUCAUGCAUGGCCAAGUAGAAUCCGUGAUUCUUGAGAUGACUGUACAAGAAAACUAGUUUGCUUACCUAUAUAAAAAAAAGAAAAAAAAAAAGAAAACUGGGUUGCUUACCUAUCAAAAAAACAAAAAGAAAACUGGGUUGCUGGCAAUUGAAUUCCUUUUAUGCUUCCACUUGAGAAACUGUUAUGGAAUAAUUUACAUUUCUAACUGAACUGUUACCUAGGUAUGUUUUGACACCUCUUCUGGCCAUGGCUGCCAAUGAUGUAAAUGACAAUCUGAGGAAUGCUGCUUUUUACUAGCAAGCAUUAUUGUUAGCACAUUUCUUUCUUGUCUGACUUUGUUUGUCUAGUAAAACUGUUCAGCAUAGUUAGCUGUUAUGCACAUAAAAUCAUGGACAGAAUUUUUCUGGUUAUAUUGUGGCUUGUUAAUUGCGAAAAUCUAUUGCCUAAUAUUGUUCCUUAAAAGA